CAACAACCAGCCCACCAUCCCAUUGACCGACCCGGGCUAGCUCCCAUUCCCUUUUCCCCUUAACAGCAAACAACAGCGAACAACAAUAUUCAACGAUAAAGUUCCUUUUCUAUAACAGCGAUAUCAACGCUGCACAACAGCAACAAUUUCAACGCACCAAAAAUCAACAACAACCGACAACCGACAACGACAGUAGCAACCCAUACUAGCCACAUCAAUAACACCCACAAUUUCAACGCAACAACAGUAAAGCAAUUUUGAGAUUCAAAUCUCAAUUGGUAUUCCCUCUUUACCCCUCCCUCCCCCCCCCCCCCCCCCCCCCCAACCGCACAACCACCACCCAAACACCAUGUAGAAUGAAGGGAGAAGGGGAUUCUUUGAGGAAAAAUUGAGGAUUUGGGGGAGCAUUUCUCUAAUUCCACAUAACCGAAGAAUUUGAAAACUUAACUCGAAAAGUUCGACGAACUUGUUUGAACACGAUUGAGUUGAAUUAGAUUUUGGUGGUGGAAGCUUCAUCGUGAUAGACUCGUAGUCCCGGUUCCUGCCCCGAAAAAGGUGAGAGUCUGCCCCUUUUAAAUUUUGAGUUUUCAUCUCUUUGUUGUUGUUUUUUUUUAUCCCGUUUGGUUUUGUGAAUAUGUGAAUUUAUUUUAUUCUUAAAUUCGUGGUUGUUGUUGUUUCCCGUUACCUUUAGGCAUUGAAAAAUAAAAAUUCUAAUUUUGUGAAUCUAUCUUAUAGUUGAACAUGUAAAUUAACAAAUGAAUAUGUGAUCUUUUGGGUUUCGAAUCGGCUAUAGUGGUUUGUUUAUCAAGUUCCGUGGAUAUGGUUCCGUUUGAAACCUAUAUUGAUUUAAUACGUAUGGUUGAUUUCUCUGUUUUAUUUAUCAUCAAAAUAUAAGCCUGUGAAUCAUGGGAAAAGUAUGCCGCCUCCCCGAAUUCCACUUUUUAAUAAACUCCUUUUGUGCUCUUUUGUUAUUGUUGUGAUUUUAAUUUUAGAAGAGGUGUGUGAAAUCGUCCUGUCUCAUCUCGUACAACUAUUUUGAGUGGUUGUUUUGUGUAAAUAUAUUAUGUACGUGGUUAUGGUUCUAGUUCAUUAUUCAAGAGACACAGAAGAUAAGGGGUUGCUUUGGAUUCCUUUUGAUAUCAAUAAGUUUGUUUGAAAAAAAAGGUAUGUAUGUAUAUAUAUAUACACCUUAAAUGACUAGAUUUGAUGUAUAUAAAUAUGGAUGCAUGUGUCCUGGAUUGGCAGUGCUUCUUAACAUUUUGGCCAACUUGAAUGGCCUCGCAAGUAAUCACUGUGUUUACCUUGGUGUGGAGUUCUUAAAGUUUUAUUCUAUCUACGUAUGUGUUCAUUGAUAAGGGUCUAAUAUAAUUUUUUUUUUUCUCUCAGCUAGAUUGAAAUCAUUAGAAAUUUGGUAGUUUAGAUUGAAAUUAUUAGAAAUCUAAUAGUUUACUUAUUUAUUAUGCGCACAUACAUUUGAAAUAUGGAAUAGCUGUUGAGUUGCAAGUGACGUGUCACAUGGGAUAGUUGUUGAGAUGUACAGAGCCCCUUUGUCCCUUUGUUUCUUAUAACUCAAUUGAGAGUAGCCUAGUUAAAUCAUGUCACAUGGUAAUGUGAUGGACUAGCAACUUAAUCAUUUUAUUUGUAUUGAUGCUUUAGUUAGUUUAUGACACAAUGUGCUCGACUUUUGAAUUGUUCUAGUUUGAAGCCGUAUUAAUUACUUGAAUCUCGUACAUUUUUUUGGAGUUAUCUUCAGUAAUACCCUUGAACCAUAUUUCAUUAUUUCAAUCCAUUUAAACUUCAUAGUAUUCAAUUUCCUUAUGCGUUGUUCAACUCCUUUGGUUACGAAUUGUACUUUGUAGUUCAUUUACUCUAUUCAAAUUUGAUUUUUAAUUCGUAUCUUCUCUUUGAUGCAUGUGACAUGAAUCCGAGUCUAUUGGACUCCAUUUUCCUCGCAUAUUCUGAUAUGCCAAGGAGGCCUAUGCUGUAUCAAGUCAAGCCUCUACCAAAGUCCAAAACUGGACUGAUAUACAUGAGAUAUACACUUAGAUACAGCUGGUGUACACUGGAAAGCAGCUGAUAACGGCGUAUAUUAAAAGUGGAAGCGAGCAUACAAGGUUUAUACUCAGAUAUACAGUGCGUAUACAAAAACUCAGCAGCAAUAGGGCUGAUAUACAAGUCAGUAUACAGCUGAUAUACACUUCAGAAAAAUGGACUGAAGUCCAUAAUUCAAGCCCAAAACUGGGCAGCUUCAUUAAUGGGCCAAUUGAGGGCCUAAUUUUAGUUCUUGCAUUAUUUUUUGUAGCUUGUAUUGUUUAUUUGUGCUAACUAACAUUUAAAUUAAUUAAUCUAGAUAAAUUUUCUAAGGUAUUGCUGUUUUAUUUUAUCUUUUUUAAAAAAAAAAUUAAUCCAUGACCUUUUCACCUAAUUUAUAUUGUUUAAAGACGGAUUAAAUUGUUUCCUUCAAUUUUCUCCUUAACACAAGUUUUAAAAGUGAACAGUUUAUUUCAAAAUGACAUUCGUUAUGUUCAUGUAACUAAAUAGUCUAUUCGAAUUAAAAUAACUUUCUUUAAACUCAAGAAACUAAAUUUUCUUGUAAAUUUUUAAUUUUUCAUAAUUAAUAAGAGUUUUUAAUUUAAUACUCUCUUAAUAUUUUUCUAAAGGUAUUUCGUACAACCUAAUCAACUUUUCUAUAAUGAUUAAUAAUAAGUAAAUAAUUUCAUAAUCUUCUUUUACAAAAGUAAAAUCAUUUCCCUCUUAAGUCCGAAAAGUUACAAUCAACUUUUCUAUAACGAUUAAUAAUAAGUAAAUAAUUUCAUAAUCUUCCUCUUUUACAAAAGUAAAAUCAUUUCCCUCUUAAGUUCGAAAAGUUACAAUUUAGUUCAAUUCAAAUAAUUUAUUUUCUCCUUUGAAUAAAUAAAUGUCAUAUUUAAAUGUUAAAUAAAUAAUCUUAUUAUUUUCUAUAAAAUCAAGUGUUUACAAAAUUAACCUUUUGCAAAAUUAGCCACUUAGUUAGUUAGUUCUUACUUGGUACACCGUUUUAAACGGAUGCUCUUAAGUGACUUAAAAAUCUUCUUAGGGCGUUAAUUGAACCCUUAACCAGAAUCUCUAGUUUUAAAGGUUUAUUUCUACUUUUGAACCUUUGAAACUCAUUUAAGUUAAUCAAGUGGCGACUCUGUAAUUUUUUUUUAAAAUUAUUUUAAAAUUUUUUCAACUCUUUUUUAAAUAGUUUUAAAAAGGUAUAAACCAUUUUUCUCGCCAAAAUGAAAUCCGAAAAGGGAUAGAACAAUGAUGAUUGUUGCUCAAAAUGCCCUUCAAAACAUAAUUUUAACCUGUGAUCAUUUACUUUAAAUUUAUUUUCAUCAUUGAUCUGCUAUAUUUUAAUUUUUUCAUAUGAAGUAACAUCUGUAAUAUUUUAAGGACCUGUCCACCUAGACUUCAAUUUUUCUGAAAAUAACCUUAAUCUGCUAUUGUAAAGAAGAACUGGAUCUCCAAUUUUGAAAUUUUUUUUUAUUUGUUUGUCCUGUUAUUUUUUUGUUUUGUCUUUCAAAAUUUUAACAUUUUCAUAAGCUUUCAAUUUCAAUUCUUCCAACUCAUUUGAGAAAAUUUGUUUUUACCAAUAGAGUCAACAUCAAAGUUCAAUACUUUUAAUAUCCAAAAAAUUUUGUGUUCUAAUUCAACAGGAAGAUGACAAGCUUUUUCAAAAAUUAGUUUAUAUAGGGUAGUAUCAACUGACGUUUUAAAUGUUAUUCGAUAAGUCCAUAAUGCAUCGUCUAGUUCUAAAGACAAUCUUUUCUUGAGAUUUCAAUCAUUUUUUCAAGUAUUCUUUUAACUCACGAUUGAAAACUUCAUUAUGCCCUUGAGUUUGAGCAUGAUAUGAUAUUUUUGUUUUAUGAGUCACAUCAUAUUUUGAUAAUGAUACAGAAAAUUGUCUAUUCAUGAAGUGAGUUUCUUGAUAAUUUGAUGAUGACUCACGGUGUGUCGAAUCUGAUAAACAUAUUUUUCUAAGAAAAUUACACACAGUUCGAGCAUUAUUUUUCUUGAUGAAAAUGGCUUCAACCUAUCCUGAGACAUAAUCCACAACCACAAGAAUAUAUUAAAAAAAUGAGAUGAGGAAAAAGGACUCAUAAAAUUUAUUUUUCAGACAUCAAUAAUUUCACACACAUGUAUACAUUGUAAUUAUAUUUCGUCUCUUUUGGUGAUAUUAUCUGUUCUUUGACAUUUAUCACAUCGUGCGACGUAUUCGUGUGCAUCGUUAAAAAGUAUUGGCCAGAAAAAUUCUACUUUCAAAACUUUAAAAGCAGUUUGAUUAGCUGCAUAAUGCCCUCUAAUUACUCCAUCAUGACAAUGAUAAAAUAUUUUAUUCAUAUCUUUUUCAGGUACACAUCUUCUAAUGAUGUUAUCUGCACAAAAUCUAAACAAAUAAGAUUUAUUCCACAUACAAUAUUCAUCAUGAAAGAUAACUUUUUUUUUUGUUGAUAAAAAAAAUUCUUUGAUAUUCAUUUUUUAAUUAAGUAAUUUAUCUGCAAGUCGGGGUGGUUGAAUUACAAUUGAAUUAACAAGUAGAAUGCUUUCAUCAGAAAACUCUUCUUUUGUUUCACAAGAUUCAAGAGGAGGAUUUUUUAACCUUGAUAAAUGAUUAGCUAUCUGAUUCUCUCUCUCUCUUUUUUUUUUUUUUUAUCAUUUAUUUUCAGGUCAAAUUCUUGAAGAAGUGAAAUUCAUCUUAAUAAUUUAGGACCAACAUUUUUUUUGUCAAGAGGUUCUUUAAAGUUGCAUGAUCAGUAAAAAUAAUGACCUUAAUUUCUAUUAAAUAGGAACGAAAUUUAUCAAAUAUAAAUAUUAUUGUCAUUAAUUUUUUUCUGUUAUGGCAUGAUUUGAUUGAGCCUCGUUCAACGUUCUACUGCAUAGUGAUGAGACAAAAAAAUUUAUCCUUCCUCUGGCCUAACACAACUCUGACGAUCAUAUCAUUAACAUCACAUAUGACCUCAAAAGAUUGAUUUCAACUAGGAGACACAAUUAUAGACGCAGUUAAUGAUUUCUCUUUAAGAGUUUCAAAUGCCUUCAAGCAACACUUGAAAAAUCAAACUUGACUUCUUUCAUUAAAUAAUUAAUUAAAGGUCUUAAAAUUUUUGAAAAGUCUUUUAUGAAUCUUAUGUAAAAAUCUACAUCACCAAGAAAACUUAUAAUACCUUUUAAUGGUUAUAAAAGGAAAUAAUCCUACUAUGAUAUUAAUUUUUGCCUUGUUAACUUCUAUUUUUUAAGUGAAGAUUUAUGCCCUAAGAUAAUUUCUUUUAUUAUUAUAACAUGAUAUUUUUUCAGUUAAAAAUUGAGUUUAUCUCUUCUCAUCUUUUAAAAACUAAGGUUAAAUAGUGAAGACAAUUUUCAAAUGUCAUGCUAAAGAAUGUGAAGUCAUUCAUAAAAAUCUCAAAAAAAAAGUAACAGUUAUGUCAAAAAAAAAAAAAUUUGCUGACAUGCAACAUUAAAAUAUAGUAGAAAAAUUACAUAGACUAAAUAACAUCCUUCUAUAUGCAUAUAUUUUAUGAGGACAUGUAAAAAUUAUCUUAUCUUGAUCUUCAGGUGCAAUGGGUAUCUAAUUAUAACUUGAAUAGCCAUCAAGAAAACAGUAAAAGUCAUAUCGUGUAAAAAAUUUUCAACAUCUAAUCAAUAAAGGAUAAAAAAUGGUCUUUUCUGAUGGCAUCAUUGAGACGUCUGUAAUCAAUACAAACUUUUCAUCCUGUAAUCAUUCUAGUAGGUACUUCAUUAUUUUUAUUUUUUAUGAUUAUCAUAUCUUUUUUUUCGAUACUACCUGAAUAGGACUUACCCAAGGACUGUUAAAAAUAGGGUAGAAGAUAUCUGCUAUUAGAAAAUUUAUUAUUUCAUUUUCACCACUACUUGCAGUGCUGGAUUCAAUCUCCCCUGAGGUUGAAUUAUUGAUUUGUAAUUGCUCUUCAUGAAAAUUUUGUGUGCGCAAUAGUCAGAUUAAUUCUCUUGAUAUUUAUUAUAGUUCAUCCUAAAGUUCGUUUGUGUGUGUGUAGUACAACAAGCAAACUAUCUUUUUGUUCUAUAAUUAGAGAAGAUGAAAUAAUUACUGAAAAUAUUUUUUGCUUAAUAUAAACAUAUAUUAAAUGAGAUGAAAAAAUUUUGAAUUCAAUUUUUGAUUAAACUUUUUGGGUUGCAUCUCAUCAUUCUCAGAAUCUCUUUUCUAAUAGUUUUGCUUUUUUUCAUGAUCGGAUCAUCAUCUUGUAUGGUGUUUGAUGUUGUCAGACAUUUUUUCAUUGAGUUUGAAAUUAAUUGAUCGCCCUUGAAUUUAUCUUUCAGAUUGCUAAUUAUAUCAACUGGAAAACAUGAAGAUGAUGUCUCAUCUCCUGAAAAAUUUAGCAUUUUUUACAUAUCAAAAAGUACUCUUCCUUCAUAUACUCUUGAAAUUAGUUGUUCUUGAUGGACAUCAGUGAUGGCUCUAUCAAUAGCAAAAAUUAAUUUGUUUAAAAUUAUUGAUUCAUCGGGACAUUCCUUUAUCUUAAGUACAAUAAAAUCUAUAAAACGAUAAAUUUAUUUACUCUUACAAGAAUAUUUUUAAUUAGUUCCUUCGAUUUCUUUGUAUUUUAAUCUACAAAUUGAAGACAGACACUUGUGUCUUUAAUUUCAUCAAGAUUUAAUUUUUUAAAAAUUAAAAAAGAUAUCAAAUUUAUUGAAGCUCUAGAAUCACAAAGUGCAUUUUCAAAAUAUAUGCCUUCUAAAGUGCAUGAAAUAGUAAAAAAACUUGAAUCAUCAAAUUUUUGUGAUAGCUUAUUUUAAAGUAUAGCACUGCAUUUCUCUGUAUGCCGUGUCACAAAAAAAAUUAAUUUUUUUUCUUGACAAAAUUUUAUUUCAAAAUUUUGCAUAUGAAGACAUUUGUAAUAAAACAUUAGCGAAAAAAAUGUUAAUGUGAAUUUAUUUUAAAAUAUUUAUAAACUUUGCAAAUUGAUCAUUAAUCUUUUAUUUUUUUCAUUUUUUGUGAAAAAAAAUUUAUCACAGAGAGAGGAAUCAUUUUUUUAAUAUUCUUUUCUUCCUUUUUCUUAACUUCUUUUUGUUUUGAUGGGUCAUUGGGUGGUUCAACAUUCUUAUUCAUGUCUACAUGUUGUGAUUGUUGUUUUUCUUGUCGAUCUGCAUAAAGUUCAUCAAAUUCCUUAAGAGAUUGUAAGGUAAUGACCAUAAGAUGCUCUUUUGAAUUAUUUUUUUGUAUUAUUUAGUAAGGAAUUUUGAAUUUUUUCUAAUAUAAGAGCUGCCAAUUGGUUUAUUUGAGUUUCUAAAUUUUUAUGGAAUCAAUAAUGAUUUUUGAUUUUUUCACCAGUAGCCUUAAUGUGCUUAUACUAAAGGUCAUCAAAGUUUGAAUAAGCAUGUUGCGGCUUUGCUGAUAUCAAAUUGUUUGCUGGUAAGGUUUGAAGCUUUAUUGUCCAUGAUUUUGAUUUGAGAAGUCAGAUGAAUUUUGUAGAUGUUACUUUUGGAAAGCUUGAGAGUUUUCAGUACCGUUUAAAUUGCUCCACUGAAAUCUUGAAUGUUUUUGUGUCAUUAGACUUUUAAAAGGAUACGGCUUGUAUCCGAUCACGUUAACCUGCUCAUUAUUUUGAUUGGUCACUUGAUAUUCAUGGUUUAGAUAGCUUCCUCCACACAUAUCGCAAGACUCUAACUGAUUUAGUUAUUGUGUAUUUAUCUAAAAAGAUUUAAAUUUUAAUGUCAAAGAAUUAAUUUAUUACAUUAAUGCACUUAAAGCAUCUACUUAAUUUACAUUAGCAAUUUUUUUGAUGAUUACACGGUCCGAUAAUCAUUGAAUAGAAUUUUUUUAAAUUUCAUUCAACAAAUGUAAUGUCUCUUCAUUUAUUUUUUUCAUUAUGGAGCCAUCUACAGCAGCAUCAAUCACAUUUCUCGAUGAAGAUUUUAGAUAAUGAUAGAAAAUAUACAACUGUAUGUUCGAAAAUGUAAUGAUGUGGACAUUUUUUGGCAUUGCUUUUAAUCUCUUUCAUACUUGAUAAACUGACUCAGUAUCAAUCUGCAAAAAGUUAUAUAUAUCAUAUUUCAAUCUUUUUGUUUUAGCAAGAGAAAAAUAUUUAUUUAAAUUUUUUUGAGUCACCUGAUUCCAUGCGAUAAUAAAAUCUUGAGACAAAUUUUACAAUCAAGUCUUGACAUCUCCUUUUAAAGAUAAAAAAUACAACCUCAACUUUAUUGUUUCAGGAAAAACUUCAUUAUACUUAGCAUUUAAACAAAUUUUAGAAAAACAAUUAAAUAAUUAUGUGGAUCUUCACUUGGAUCACCAGUAAAGAUACAAAAUUGUUGAAUUGUUUGAAUUAUGCCUGCUCUAAUUUCAAUGUUGUUGACUGUUACUGGCGAUUUUCUAACACUUGAUUCACAAUUAAAGUAGUCUGAUCUAGCAUAAUUCCUUAGGAUUCUCUGUGUUGCUUUUGAAGCCACUUCAUCAAACUGGUUUUCUACAUGAAUUGAUAGUGAAAUCUUCGAUGUAUUAACAUCAUCUCCUUAUUUUCAUUUGAUCACAGAUUAUGUCCUGAGAAACUAUUCUCUCUUUCCUGUGAAGUCGCAAAGAUCUUUCUAUUUCAGAAUCAUAAUUGACCAACUCUUUCAUGAAAGAGUGGGUCAUAAACAAUCUGAAAUAUAAAAUUCAAUCAAUUAAACAGGUCACUAACAAAACUUUUCUUUUCAUUUUUUUAACUUAAAAAUAAAAAUAUUAAUUAUAAGUUAACAAGUAUUCAAUGGUAUAAGCCUAACAAUUUCUAUUUAAUAAUUAGGGACAAUACUCACAGAAAUACUUGAAAUUUGACCGGAUUAUCAGUUGAGCAUACUGAACUUUGUGGGGGUCCUAUUACCCCCCAGAUUUUUUUUUCAUAUUUUAAUGACAUAUAUCUGCCACUUGACACACUGCGUGUUAGUCACGCGCAUUGAGUGCGUGAAUAGUGCUAAAAACAUUUUAAAGUAUUUUUUUUGCCAAACAACCCAUUAAGUUUAUAAUUAUUUAAAGUUUUAUAUUUUUAUUUAUUUUUCAUUCUUUUUCUUCUUUCUUCUUUCUUUCUUUUCUUCAACAAUGGUUGCUCCAUUAUUAAGUUAAAUUGAAUUCUUGAAGAUUCCAUUUCAGUUUCCAUUCUUGAAGAUUAGUGAAAGAUUUCAUUCAAUUGAAAUUGAAAUUUGGUGUAAUUGAAGCUUGGAACUUGGAACUUGAAAUUAAAAUUGAAAUUGAACUUGAAAUUGAAAUUUUAUUCCAUUGAGUUGACGUAAUUGAAACUUGGAAUUUGAAAUUCAAUGGAAGAUUCCAUUGAGUUGGCGAAAAUGUAACUUGAAAUUUGAAAUUCAAGUAUGAAGAAACUUUCUUCAUAAUUGAAUUUGAAAACUUUUGGAAUUUGAAAUUGACUCAAUGGAAUCAUUUAAAUUUGAUUUGUAGGAGAAAUUUGAGUUGUGGAAUAUUUAAUAUGAUUGUAAUGGUGAAAAAAUGUUGAAAACUGAUAAAAAGGAGAAGAAACAGCGCCUGUAUCACACUCCCUACCGUAAAAACUGGGUAUAGCGUUUUGCGGGAAAUUAAUUCCACUUUAAAAAAAUUUGGGGAGGGGGGAUUAAUUUCACUUAAAAAAGUAUAGGGGGGUAAUAGAAUUCCCGCAAAGUUCAAUAUGCUCCACUGAAAAUUUAGUUAAAGUUUAGGUAUUUUCGUGGGUAUUAUCCCUAAUAAUUAUAAUAACAACAGUAAAAUAGAGCUAUUACUACCAACAAUAACAGCAAUAACAAUAUUUAAGAAUAACGAGGCCAAUCUAUAUAGGAUUUUCUUGCUUGUAGUCUAUCAAAUUUUAAUAUAGUUUAAGAUAUCAUCUCGCGGAGAUUGAAAGAUCUAUGAUAUAAAAUUAUAAUAUCUUGACUACGAGAACAAAAUUGAUGAAAGACGGAGUUGAAAUUAUAGGUCAAUUAAAACUAAAAUAAAUCACUUUGUUGAAAGAUUAAUAAUUAAAAAAGAGUUGAAAAACAUUGAAUUCACUUGAUAAUAUUUUCACAAUAAAAUCUCUAUCUACAAAUAUUUUUUUUUAAAGAAUAAUUGCUUAUUACUAAUACAAUUAUAUUUUAUCUCUAAAAAUAAAUAAUUAAUUAACACUCCGUGAAUUUAUGUCAAUUAAUUGAUUUAAUUCUAGUAACUAUCAAAUCAAUAUUUCCUUGCAUGUGUUGUACUAUAAAGGAUAAAAGAGCUCUUUCGAUUAGUCCUUAAAUCAAUAAAAUUAUUUGAGUCAAUUCUUUCGUGAGAAUUAGGACUGAAAGAAAUAAGAUAAAGGCCCUUUACAAUAUACUUGUUUGAACUAAUUCCUCCAUGAGAAUUAAAAUUUAAAGAAACAAGAUCAAAAAAUUUAAAAUAAUAAAAAAUUAAAGAUGAAUUUCACUCUACAAUUUCACUCAUUAGAUAUCAUAUAUUAAUUUUGCUCCGUGAGAAUUAUAAAAUUAAUAUAAAGGUAACUUAGAGAUAAAAUAUAUGAAAAUAAUGGUAAGAAUUAUUGAAAACUAUUACUCCAACACAAGUUAAAAUAUAAGUGAAAAUCUUUAAGUUCAGAUGUGUUGAGAUUGAGAUAGUAUUACAAAAAUAUAUAUCAAGCUUCAUCAACGAUCCCAACAAAAAGAGAUUACUUCCUUAUGAUGUAAGAAAAACUAAAAAGAAAACAAGAAAUAUUUUUACUAAGAUAAAAUGAUUAUAGAAAGAGACCAAGAUUAACUUUUUCUUUCUCCUUUAGAAAAAACUAGAAGAAUAUUAAAUAGAUGGUAACUGAAAUAUCUCCCUCUACAACGUAUGCUUAUUUAUAGAUAAAUUUCUACUUAGACUUUUGAUGAGAAUUACAAGAUAUUUUCAAUAUAUCAUGAUGAGAAAUUCAGAUGAUAAUUUAUCAUGCAAUCUUGAUGAUAUUUUGACAUGACAAAUACCAUAAAAUUUUGAUGAAAAGUUCAAAAACCUUGUGAGAAUGUUCAUGAUUUUAUCUUUCUUGUUCUUGUGUAGUCUUUGAUAAAUUUAUAGUUGAUGAAUCUUCACUCCUUGUCUUGUAUCUUCUUUCUUUCUUUUUCUUGUUUCUCAUGCAUUCUUUUUCCUACAAGAAUUGUUAGAAAAUACUAGGAGAAUUGAAUAUAUUUAUCCAUGUUUUUUAUUUAAAAUUAUUUUUUAUAUAUUAAAAUAUAUGAAUAAUUUAUAUUCAUCAGGAGCCAUCCCAUCUAAUUUCCUGUUAAAAAGAAGCAUUGCUUCUGAAAAGAAAUAUAAAAAAAUUAUUUUUCAAAAAAAAUACAAGUAGAAAUAAAAAAAAAUCAUGAUAAAAAUAUCUCUAUUACACACACGUGCACACCCACGCACACCCACGCAUAUAAGUUUGAUUUUAAAAUUUUAUACUUCAUAUUUUCAUCAUAAUUUUUUAUUUCAUUCUUAUUUUGUUAUUAUAACUCUUUAUUUUUAAUCUAGAUAUUAUAAAUAGCAAGAAAGUGUUGCAUAGAUUGUUGCCAAGUGGCAAUAUAGGAUAAUGCCAUGUAUUACUUUUUAGGACAAAUUAGUUAGAUUAGGUAAAAUUAGUUAUUAUUUUUUAAUUUAAAUUAAAAAUAGUUAGACCUUUUCUAUUUAAAAAAAUUAAAAAUUGCAAUUAACAAUUUAAGAAAAUCGUGCAAUCAUUACUUAAGAGACUUAUAACAUCUUUUUUUUAAUUUUUCAGAACUUAUCAUAUUUUUAUAUCUAUGCUUAAACUUAAAGAUAAAUUUAAAUUAACAUAUUUGAAUUUAAUUUAUAUCUUAAUUAUUCAAUUACAAAAUUUGAUUUAAAAAAUGAUUUGUAAACUAAUUAAACCAAACAUAAAAUCAUAUUUGAUGUAAAAAUAAUAAUUAAAUUUAUGUUUAAUUAUUUUGAAAAAAAUAAUAAUUAAAUAAAAACUUAAGAAAAUAAGUAAAUUUCCUAUAAAAUAAAGAGUUGAUUAUUAAUUUGAAGAUAAAAGUACAAAAGCAUAAGACACAUCAACUUAAAUUAUUUUCUUUCUUAUAGUUAUUGUUGUGUUAUCAGUACUUUUAAAAAAAUUAAUAUGUAAGUUGGGAAAAUUAAAAUAACAAACGACAUUAAUAUUGUCAUCAUACAUUUCUUUAAUAAGAUUGUUUCAACACCAGUUGAUCUGUCAUUUAGUUAGGUUAUAAUUUUAAAAAUUUAAGAUUUUGAAGUUAUUUUAACUUUUCGCAGUAAUUUAAAAUUCAAGUUUUUAUAUCUUUUUUAAUCAUAUUGAUGGCUUAUUUAAUUCGAUUUUUAAAAGAUCUCAAACUUCAAAUAGUUAAUUAUACAAAUAAAAAAGGAAAAUAAAAUAAUAUUUUAAAAAAUAUGUUGCCUCCCGGUGUUUCUAUAUAUGUUGUUAUAGUUUUUAAAAUUUAUUUAAAUAAAAAGUUAUAAUUCUAAAUUUAGAAUAAAGUUAUAAAAACUUAUUUAAUAUAAUUUGUUAGUUUUUUCAUUGUUAUUAUUAUUGUUGUUGUUGUUGUUGCUGCUGCUCCUCCUGCUGUUGCUGAUGUUGCUGCUUGUUGUUGUUGUUGUUGUUUAUUAAAAAAAGAAGAUGAAGAAUUCAUGUUCUAAUAUUACCAAGUGACAGCUAGGCAAUUCCACAUCAUUCUUAUUUCAAUCCUAUUAGUUUCAUCCUUAAUAAAUAAAAAAAAAAAUUAAAAAUAAAAUUUUUCCAACAUGGAGUUAACUUCUCACGUCUGAUUUCCACUUCUACAUGUUCCUAGGCAUUAGGCUGUUUAUAUUUCCUUUGAAAAAAAAAUUCUCUCAAAAAGAACUGUUUUGCUUUUCAUAUUUCAUACUGCUUACACUUUAGCUAUCUGUUUAUCUUCUAUAUAUAAUAACAGAGGCAAAAAUAUCACAUGUUAACACCACAAAAAUUCAGCUAACAAAAUAAUGCAAAAGAAAAAAAAUCACAUUCUCAUUUUUAGAAAAAAAAAUCUAUUCAUAUAUAAUAACAGAGGCAAAAAUGGCACGGGUCAACACCACAAAAAUUCAGCUAACAAAAUAAUGUAAAAGAAAAAAAUUACAUUCUCAUUUUCAGAAAAAAUAAAUAAUAAAAAAUAAUUAACUUGCACACCAACUACAUAUAAACUGUACAUAUAUUUAAGUAAGUGGCAGUGCUUCCCAAUUUUCUCUUCUCACUGAUAGUUUAGUAACCUACAAACAAAGUAGAUUUAAUUUUUUAAGAUAUAAUUUACUAUGUUUCAGAAUUCAUUCAAGAAACAACUAUAAAGCAACUUAUUCUGAAUUUUAAAUUUGAAUUAAUUUAUAUAUUUUAUGUCUAUAAUUGUAUAUGCUGAAAGGAGAGGAAAAUAUCUCUUCAUUAAGUGACGGAGUCAUGACACUACUUUCUUUUAAAAAAUUACAGAAUUAUUUAAAAAAUUUAAGUUUAGAAAAUUUAAUUAAUUUUAAAAAUAAAUAUUUAAAAUUAGAAUAUUAAAAAUUAAAGUUUUGAGAUGGUUACAACUUCCCCAUUUUUUUAUAAUUAUAAAACCUGCAGUUUUAAUUUUAGAUAUGGUUAUAACUUUUUUAUUUUUUGAUAAUUAUAUUAUAGGAGUUUACAAAUUCCAACAUACCUUUUCUAAAUGUUAUUCUAUAAUGUGCAUAGAUUAUUUGUCCCUGCUCUCAAGUAUAGCAAUUCAAUUUUCUUCUUCGUUUUAAGUAUUUUCACGAACAAUGAGUAUUUAUGCUUCAUAUAUUGUGUGUCGUUAAUCUUCAGAAAAAAUAAAUGAAUAACUAGCAUUGCUAUCAUAGAUGUAGUUGCUCCAACUUUCAAAUAUACAGUGAAUUAAUUUUCAGAAAUAGUGAUUUCAAAUUAGAUAUAAAAAACUAUUGGUGAUUACCCAAAGAUUUUCAUUCAAAAGAUGAUUUGAUAUGGUUGAUUCAGGAAAGGAAAGCCUUGACCCACGCUAAGUUAGGUAGUGUUAUAUCAUUUUUUGCUUUAGGUUGAUCAUUAUGACUAAGUUUUAGUUUUCUUUGUUUGGACAAUUAAAUCUCCUGUCAAAAAUUUAAACGGCCGUGAAGUAAAUAUAUUAUUGAAUUGAAUUGUUAACUGUUUUCUUUUCUUUUCUUUGGUAAAUCUAAAUGUUGGUUACUUAUUUGAAGUGCAGUGGUUAACUAAGUUUUAGUUUCUUUGUUUUAGCAAUUAAAUCUCCUAUCAAAAAUUUAAACGAUUGGGAAGUAAAUAUAUUAUUGGAUUGGAUUGGAUUGUUAACUGUUUUGUUUUGUUUUCUUUGAUAAAUAUAAAUGUUGAUUACUUAUUUGAAGUACAGUUAUAUCUUUGUUCUCAUAAAAAAAGAUUAGUCUACACAAAAAUUUGUAGUUCAAAUGAGUAAGGGUAUAUAGUAGUUGAUUAUAUUAUUAAUAAAUAUAAACCUAUUAAGUAUUUAUCAUGUUGGUUUUAUUUUUCCUACAGUUUUAAUGUACAUGUAAUAUUGUUCUAUAGGCUUGCAGCUUUGUCUUGAUGGGAUCCUCAAUAUAUGAAAAUGUUAAUUUGAAAAGAGUGUUUAUUAGAGUUUAUCAUCUCUAUUUUCUUUUAUGUACUUACUACUGAAAAUAUCUUUUUGUGUGUGUUUUGAUGAAUCAAUUUAAGUGUUUUGUAUUAUUUUAACAUUAUUGGACAUAGAUGUAGAAUGUCAUGCGAAAUAUUGUAAUAAAUGAUUGCAAUUAAUAGGUAAACAAAAAUUUAAAUAAUUGUCAGAUAAAGACUAAUAUGAUAUAAGAUUUUUAUUUUCUUGGGAUAUAUGUUGAUUUUUUUUAGUAUUUUCAUAUAAAAAUUGAACGAACUCCUAAUAAAUUGAUAUGAUUUUAAAUUGAAGUUUAUUUGAAAUAAAGCGUAAAUUUCUUAAUCUAUUAUAUUGUAUAACAGUAUAAGAUGUUAGUAUAUGCAUUUUUUUGAGUUUCACGAUAUGAGAAGCAUGUUUUGACACUUAAAUAUAAAUGCAUAUUUAUUUUGUAAUAAUUUUUAGAUAAGCAAAGAGGAUAUCAAUUGAUAAGCUGUCAGAUUGAGAAAAUCAAAUGUCAUGCUACUCAAGAUAAUACAAUGUAAGUCUAGACAAAAAUUAAGAGUGUACCGUUAUUAUUGUUUAAAUUAAAUGAAAUGCUCAUCUAUAUUUACUCAUAUAAAGUAUUUAAUGGUACUAUUUUUUCAUAGGAGUAUGUUCAUAUUGUAUUUUAAUUAGCAAUAGUUGUUUUUAUUGACAUUUCUCUAUUAAAAAUUGAAUUAUUUUUAGAAUUUGUGUUGAACUUAUAAUUGUAUAAUGUUAAUAUUUUAGAGUUUCAUUGCAGAAAUUCAUGAAGCUAUGAAAAGAAAGAGGGUAAAAACUACACAAUAAAUAUUUAUAAAUCUUUUUUCUCUUUAUCUUAUAAAUUUUUAAAAUUUUACAAAAUAACUUCAUUUUACUAAGAUAUGAUACAACCUACCGUUGAUAUUUUAGUGCCCAAAUCAUUGUAUGAUUUUUAUUCAAAUGGUAUGUCUACAAUAUUCUUUUAUUUUAUUUUUAAUUAAGAAUUGACGUACUUACAAACUUACAAACUCCAAAUGCAAUCGAGGGAGCCAAGUAAAUUGGACUCCUUGGCAACCGACACGAAAAUUAUUAAUACAGUAUAUUUUCUUUAUUUGUUAGGAGUAGUGUGAUCCAAUCGAAUACUGAGGUAUCAAAAUUGAUGACUGCAAAAUUUGUUAUUGCUAUUUUAACAUUAUUUUUGUAAAAAUUAAAAAUAAUCUACUACAAUUUUAUUGAGUCUGAGAAAGGAAGACCUUGCUAACCAGUGGUUGAAUGCUUUUAUUUUUUGGCUUAGUAUAGUCCAUUUUUUGUAUUCCACAACAUUUAAAUUGAAUUCUUAGAUAACUUUAAAAAAAUUGAAGGAUCAAUCCGUAAGCUUUUUCAUGAUAAAAAUUUUAAAAUUAAUUUUUGUCAAGUAUAUUCAAUCUCAUCCAUAAUCAUGUUAUACGUACAAAACAAAUCAACAAUAAUUUGUAUAAGUAGAUAUGUUGUUUGAUAUGUGUUAUUUACAUAACAUACUCACACAUAUAUGGAAAACAAAACACCCCAUAAGAAAAUUAGAACAUCUAAAAAAUUAUAAGGGUGGAUUUAAAAUUUAAUAUGCUUAAUUUUAAAACAUGCUACGCAAUAAUCGGAUAAUUUAAAUGAUGAUUACACCUCUUCUAUCACUGUAAUUGUUCAAGCAUUUCAAAAAAUUAAUAUUCAAAAAAAAUCCCAUAACCUUAUCAAAAGUAUCACAGUAAUAUGAAAUAAAAAAAAAUAAUCUAAGAAAAUCAAAUUAAUAAAAAAAUUUAUAAUAAGGCAUUUUUUAAUCAAACUUAAGUGAAUAUUUGUGUUCAAAAACUAAUCUAAAAUAAGUUGAUUUAUGUAUUUGAUAUAUACAAUCAAUAAAAUUUUAUGAUUAGUUCACUGCGCAUCGCGCGGGUAUGAAUACUAAUAUUAUUAACAAUCAAAAACAAAUUCUCAGAUACGCAGUCAUUGAAAUUUAUUUCUCAAAACAAAUAUAAUUUUCAAGAAAAUGAUGUUUUAUUGUACUUUUCAAAAUUAUUGUAUUAAUUUGUAUUAUGUCUUAAUGAAUUAUCUUGAAUUUUCUACUUUAAAAUGUUAAAUGUAUUAUUAUUUCCUAAUAUUAAUAUUGGUGUGUUAUUAUUUACAGGGAGAUUAAAUUCAUGCAAUCAUUAGAAGUUUUGUGAACCCAUGCAUCAUAGCUAGCAAUAAUACUUGAGAAUUUUUAUGCUGAGAGUCUUCAAUUAGUGUCGUAAUAUUGUGGAGAGAGUUUAGUGUUGUUUAUAUCUUCUUAUAUUUUUCUGUAAAGUUAAAUAAUUAUCUAGGUCACUAAACUGUCCAUUAUAACAAAAUUUGUUCUUUGUUAAUUCUUACUUAGAAAAGAUUUAUUUGAGACAUUCAAUUUUUUCUAAACUAAAUUGUUCCAUUGACGCAUCAACAUUCUUAAAUACAUUUGCAGUAUGACACCACACCCACUAAAAAAAGAUAUUAUGCAGUGUUUAUUAUGAAAAGAUAAUGCUUAUGUCUUUGACUUUAAAAAAACAAUGCUUAUAUUAUUAUAUUUGCGCAGAGAUCCUAUAUUAGGAGGAAGAGUAUUUGCCUUGCCGCAUAGUUAUUUCUCUUAGAGGAACUUUGCUUCAUGUUCAUGGGCAUAGUCUGAAAAUUAUCAUAUUAACUUCUAAAAAGAAUUAUUGCUAUUUUUAAUUGGUGAUUGAAUUUCUAUUAAAGAUAAGUUCAAUAUUUUCUUUAUGUUAGUCAGGUUUACAGGUAACAUUAUUAAGAUACGAUCAUUAUAAUAAACAUUCUAAAUUCUGAAUUCUAAGAAGUUGAUAUGAUUUAUGUUUGGGUCACUCCAAUUUUUCAUACAUUUUGGGUGAAAAUUUGUUAAAAUGAUGAGAUUUGUUUAUUGAUGCACACAUUUUAAAUUUUUUUUAAAAAAAAUGAUUAUAAAUGUGACUUAUUUAAAUAUUUUUCAAACAACAACCCAAUUAGAUUCAAAAUCCUUCGAACACAAAAUUAGUAGAUAAAUUUGAGAGUAGUAGAUUUGGAUGCUUAUUAAUGAAUGAUUUUGACUAUUAUUCAUACCAUUAUUGUGAAUUGCAUUUUAAUUUUGGAAGAUUUUGAAAAUGGAUGAAGGGAUUUGGAUCGGUACUAAAGCUAGAUUCAAUGAAGAUUAAUAAUAUGAAGACAAAAAAUUCAUUUAGAGUCAUUAACAAAUAGGAAUGAGUUUUCUUUUCUUAGUAAAAUGGGGUUUCGGUGGAACAAUUAUGUUUUAAAUUUUGUAUUUGUAGUAGGAUUUCUAAAAUUGAGGUAAAUGAUAGAAUUUUCUUUAUCAAAAACUAAUUAAUACUAAUAUUUAAAAUUUGAAGAAUAUAAUUCCCAAUCAAUUUAAGCAUGGUUUUCUAAAAAAAUUAAUAAUGUUCUGUGUUUAUAUUCCAGGCACAACAUAGUAGAAAUUUUUUGCACGACUAAAAUCACAAUUUUCCCAAUGAAUUAAUGGCGUGCCUUUUUUCUUUCACAUUUGAAAUUUUUCAUUCGAACAAUGUCAUUAUUAUUUUAUUAGCGUUUCUUCUCAAUUGAUACUUUUCUUAAUGUUGAAAAGGUCAUUACAUUUAUUAUUUUCUAUAUGUAAUAUCAUCUUAUAGUGUAUUUUAAAGUAUCAUUAAUUUCACUUUAUCUACUUCAUUUUUGUACAUAUUCUUUAUGAUUUUUUUCUUAUCAGGGUAAUUGUUAAUUUUCUUGCAAAUUUCAUGUAAUUUUAUUCUUCUAUCUCAAUUGAUAAGCAUCAAUGAGAUUGAAAUAAGCUGAAGAAAUCCAUUCAAAUAAUCAAAUGAAUCUUUCACUGUGUUCUGAUCAUUGAAGACGAUGGGUAGCGGCAGACGAAGGUGAGAAGUGAUGGAAACAAUAUAAUAUAUCUCUUGGAUUAGGGACAGUUGGUCUAUAACUAAAAAUUGGCGAACUUUGAAUGGAGAGACGUUUGUGACAGCUAUGAAGAAAUGAGGGUGGUAAUUUUUAUGAAGUUGUCGACAUUGAUAUUCAUCAGUAAAGCUCACAUGCAAUGCCACUGUUCUCGAUUUUCUUCCCGAAUUCUAUUUGUCGGUGAAUGAUGAUUUAGCGAUAGACUGAAUAUGUUCGUUGGCUUUGUGACUACUAUAUUUUAUUAGUGUAUGUACGCAUAUCUAAAUCUUUAAAAGUUAAAUUUUAAAAUUGUCCUGUUCUCAUUUAAUAAAAAUAUUUUCUUUAUUAGAAGAUAAAAAAAUUAAACCCAUAGGUGAAGUUAUAAAAUGAAUUGAAAUAAGUAUUUUUGAUUUAGUUGAAAGUCAUUUGUAAAUGUGGGCAUGAUAUUAUUAUAAUAUUAAUAUUCAACUAAUAAUAUUAUUGUUUUUAUUCUAGAUAGCAUAACUAAUAAUAUUAUUUCAAUUUUAUUUUAAAAAAAUGCUGAAUCACGAAAAUUCAAAAUUAAAUUUCAGCAACGAUAAGAAAAAAUAUUGAAUAGAAAAUAUAUUAAGUCAAGCGACAAGGUAAACAUUCACAUAAAAAUCAAAUAUAUUUAAUUUAAUAGAUAAAUAUUUAAACUAAAUAUAUUAAUUAUGAAAAUAAUAGAUAAAUGACAAAAGGAACCAUCUAUUUAGUUUAAACACAUGUUUGGAUAGAAAAAAAAAAUCUUAGUUGGUAUUCAACCAUGUAUAAUCACAAAUUGGUUCUCAUUAAAGAAGUUUCAUUUUUAUAACUACACAUUAAAGAGAAACAUGAACUUCAUAGACAAAUUUAUUUAUUGAUUUUAAGGAAAAGAUAAAAAAUGUCUUAAUUUUGAAAGUUCAAGUAGCUAAAUUUUAAUUUCAAUUUCACACCGUAAACUCCCCACCCCCGCCCCUCACCCCUUUCCCUAUCCUAAAAAAAUAUUAAAAAAAAACAGACAGUCUGGUGCACUAAAGUUAUCGCUAUACACGAUGUCUGAUGCACUUUAAUUUCAAUUUCACAUCGUAACUAAAAAAAUAUGCUACUAAUACCAAUAGGUUUUAUAAGAAUAUAAUCAAAGAGUUAUAUAUUUAAACUAAUUCAAAUUCAAUUUAUAAUAUUAUGAGAUCAUUUGAAUUAUAGACAAAAUAUUAAAUGAGAAAAAAUAAAUUAAGAUAUCAUAGUAGGAAAUAAUGUAUAAGGAGGACAAUAUCUUGAAAAGUAUUUAUGAAAAAUUAUUAAAGUAAUUCGUUGUUAAUAGUUUAGAUAAAAUAAUAAUAACAAAUUAGUUUGAAUUUGACAUUAUUAUAUUAUAUACAAUGUAGAAUAGUAAAUGAAUAAAAACUAACUAAAAUAUUAGAGUAGAAUAAGAUGUACACAAAAAGAGAUAGUAAUAAAGUGAGGAUAUUUAUAUUUGAAUUAAUUUUGAAAGUUUUAGUUAGUGAAAUAAUUCAUAUAUAAUUGAAUAAUAUACGAAGUAACAAUAUACUGUACGUUGAAGUUAUAUUAAUAUUUUUAUGUAUUAUUUUGGUAUCAAAUAAUUUUCAACAAGAUACUUUUAUGAUUUAAAAAUGUACAAAGUAUUUUAUUAUUUUUAGUAUAAUUUUUAUAAAUUUAUUAAUUCAAAUACGACAUUUUACAUAGUUUUAUUAAUAUUUAUUAAAUUAUUUUUCACGUACAAAUGCACAUUUACAAUUUAUAAAUACAUUGCCUAUUAUUGUUGUUGUUGCUGUUAUUGACUUGUUGUUACUGUUGUUGCUGUUGUUGUUGUUGUUAUUGUUGUUGCUGUUGUUGUUGUAUUGCUGUUGUUGCUGUUGCUUUUAUUUUUGUUGUUAUUGUUCUAGUUUUGGAUUGAUAUUAUUUUAUUAUAUACAAUGUAGAAUAAUAAAUAAAUAAAAACUAACUAAAAUAUUAGAGUAGAAAAAGAUGUACACAAAAAGGUAGAUAGUAAUAAAGUGAGGAUAUUUAUAUUUGAAUUAAUUUUUAAAGUUUUAGUUAAUUAAAUAAUUUGUAUAUAAUUGAAUAAUAUAGUAAAGGUAGUAAAUUAAUGAAAAAAUAGAUGAUAUAAUGCAAUAAAGAAAAAUAAGAAGAAAUAUUAUUCGACAAUUAAUUGAUUUUUUUUUAUUCAAUUUAAUAAAAAAUUUGUUAUUGAUUACAAGAUUGAAAAAUUAGAUAAUUGUGCAAAUUUUAUUAACAUAAUAUGAUCUAAUAUACUCCAACAAGUCAAAUUAAGAUUGUAAAUAAUUUGUUUCCUUUAAUAUUUAUCGCGCAUCGUGGGGGCACGCAUACUAGUUAUAAUAAAUGAAAAAUGAAUCAUGUUGCGAGAUCAAAUCAUAUUUUGAAGAGACUUGUAAAUUUUUUUCGAAUAUUUAAUUUUAAAUAAAUUAUUAAAAAUAUUAUAAUAGUUAUUUAAAAUAAUUUUCUCAAUAAAAUAAUUUUAAUAGUAAAAGUUUAGUGACACAUGUCCUUUUUGAUCAUUUGUCUCUCAAAAACAUUUCUUGAAAAAGUGUAUCCAAACAAAAUUUAUUUAUCAAAAAUAUUUUUCAAAUGAAUUUAUCAUAGGCAAAUUAUUUUUUAAAAAAAAAACACUUUUCUGAAAAACUACUUUGUAAAAAUGUUUUUCAAAUAAAUAAUUUUCUAACCGCAAUCCCAAAUGGGCUCGUAUUUUAAUAAAACUGUAGUUAUGAAAGUAACAGAAAUUAUACCGAAUCGAAUAAAUUAUAUGUAUGAAAUUCAAAAAUAAGAAGCAUUAGAAAUGAGAUAUAACUCGUUCCUUCAACACAACUGACGACAGAAUCGAUGAUCCAAUAUCUUGCAGUUGCCAAAAGCAUGAACAGAUAAAUAUAUUUACAAGAACAACUUGUUUCAAAAAUAGUUUAACUAAAUUCACACCACAAAUGAAUCUGAAAAUACAGUUAAAGCCAGGGUAAUACUGAGCAGGGCAGCUUAACUUCAGUCUUCAGAAUAGUCCAAGGAACCCACAAUCCCUGUGAUUACCUAAUACAUCAUACAAUUUUGAAGAACAAAAAACAAGGAAAUAAAAUAAAAUAAUAAUAAUAAUGAUAAAAGAAAAAAUAAAAGAAAGUGCAAACUUGUUUAUCAGCGUGAAAAAAGAAUUAAGAAUAAUUAGUGAGAUUUUCUUUAUAGCUCUGGAUCAAUUACAAGUGCAACUAUAACAAAAGCACAAUUGAUCUACAAGUUGUAUAAAACAUAUUCAAGGCAAAUGCAAGGGUGGUAUCCACUUGCUGAAUUCCACCAAACUCCUGUCGACUAUAGUUCUAUUAUGGAGCCAGAAAGUUUCUGAUGAUUGGUGGAAUUGCCUAACUUUUCUCUGAAGUUCCCACAUAAGUGCAUUAAAUGCAGUGCAGGAAUCAGACCCGGGAGUAUAAGCGAACAAGCACCUGAUCUUUCGACCCCAAGCUAUCAUUUCUUCGAUGUCUUUAUCUGAGAAUGAAAGAAAGUUGCAUCAUAAAUCCAUUGGCUACUAAUUUUAACGCAAGAUGCUAGGCAAUAAAAGGCGGCGUGCUGACCAGGUAUUGAUUCUAGGUAGUCCAAUAGUUCAGUUCCUAUAUGAGUGGAUGGCCAUUUGAUUGAUAUCAGGGUGUAGUCGAUCACAUUCUGAAAUGGUAAUUCUACUUGAUCCGAUAAGAUUACUGGAACGCACUCCUGUUUAACACAACAAAGGCAUAAAGAAGCGUAGGAAAGUGGAAUUUGACAAACUUUAGUCAUGCACACAAGAUAUGAGAGACUAACCACAAAGAAGGACUCAUAAAAGCGAAGCGUCCAUGAUGAUUCACCACGUGGAGCUAGGCAGAACUUAGCAUUGCGGAGAUGCUCAAAAUAUUCCUUCCUUCCUAGCUUGUUAGGACCACUGAAUUUCAAUUCUGGACAUUCCAACUGUUGAUAGAAUCAAAAAGACCAUCUUUUGGACAAAAAGACUAUAUGGGACUCAAUUGGAAGCAAAUACAAUUAGCGGUUUUGGAAAACUAAAGGAUUCUCACUCAAGUAGAUAAACUGAGAAAUCCAUGUACCUGGUAAAGAAUCGAUGGAAUACUGCUUGACAGCUUAGAUACUUCUUAUGUUAUCAACAAAUAGGACAAAGGUCAUUAUCACUAGCCUCCCAUCGGCAGCAAGGAAGUAGCAGUGGAAGAUAGAAUUCGAAACAGAUUUGAGAAACAUAGGAGGGUUCGGAUCUCUUUGAACUAUUAUAUCUUUUGGGAGGUAGAGGGAAUUUUUCCAUUGGAGAAAAUUGCUUUUGAGAUCUUCACCAUAUAUUAAUUCUACAACCCAUUUCAACUGAAAGAUAUAGGAUUGAGAUGUUUUUUUAGCGGGGACCAAAACUGGAAGGAACUUAAAGAGGACUAAACACAGAGUAAAAUGAUGAUUCCUAUACUAGGCUUUUGAGUCAAACAAUCACAAGAAAAGUGCUUCCCAAGAAAAAAAACCAUGGGUAUGAAUUGAAGUAUCAAACUUAGAUAUGUGCAAAAAAAUCAAUAGUGCAAACAGGGAUUACUGUAAUAUACACUCAAAAAUAUCUGGAUAUUCCUAAUCAAUUGAACAAAGCCUUUUUGUCAGUGAAGUCAUUAUUCUCGACCAAGAUGGGAAAGAGGGAAAGCAAUGGAGACAAGGAGAAGCUUACCUUAUCUGGGAAUUGCUUCGAGAGGUCUAUCAACCGAAGGCGGCCCACCUUUCCUUGUGUUCUCCCUAAAUAGUUUGCUAAGUGUUUCCUCUCUGACAAAGGCAAAGGCUCAACUAUCCUAGAGCCAUGAGUAGUCAUCCCAUCAUCAAUGUUUCCAGGUAUGAUAAUAUCUUUCCAUGUAUUAAAGGCACUAGUGUCUCUUUUAUCUGUUCGAUCCCCCUGCAUUACAUGCAAUGAUAUUCCUCAACAUGGAAGACUGAAUAAGAAUUAACUUAUUGAAGAUAACAGGCAUGACUAGGUACAAGUGUGUUAAGACAACAAACAUAAAAAAUAACAUGAAUAAACUCAUUACAAUUGGUAGGAAACCGCUAAUAGUCUUAUGUUUCUGGACAGAGAGAUUAUAAUUUAUUAUCUUUCUCCGUGCAUGAUACAUAGAAUUGUCACAAUAAACUUACCAUGGAAACAACAUACAGACAGUGUGAGCGACUUGAGGUUCCAUGAGAGAGAAGAAAAAAGAAAAAGCAGAUCACUGCAUAGUGAAUGACAGUGCAGCAACCCAUGAAACAUUUUCUAUGACUGCACAUGAAGGGUAAGGAUUAUAGACUGACAGCUUGUAAACCCUUACCUCAGGAGUAAGAAUUAUAGAUCGAUUCAAGUAUGUUGCCCAAGAUUUAAAUAAAUGAGCUCCAGCACCACUGCAGUUCAGCAAAAGUAACACGCGUAAGAAAAAGUGAUCUUUUUUUCAAUUGAAAAUGCAACUGAGAGAAAUUUAGCUGCAUGUCUAUUUUGCAACAGCAUUUAGCACAGGUGAAAAUGCAUGAUCAAUAUUUUAUCUGACUGCAUCAUUGAAGUUGUGGCUUCACAUCUAUGUCCCAGUUCAUAACGUGCCUGUUCCUGCCUUAUUCAACUAGCAGUUUUGAUAAAUGCAGCACAACUACCAUUAGGCGAUAUUUUUAUCAGAUUGCAACUUUGAGGUCAUGGAUUUAUAUCUACAUCCAAGCCCAUGCAGAACCUAGCUAUACCUGUCGUAUUCAUAUACCAGCUUUUACAAAUUCCAUACGUCAUUGAGUCAUCUAUUUAAUCUGCGAAGCAUCUCAUAAUUGGAUUCCUAUCCCUUAUCCAUGAAUUUAAAGAUCUCCAUAUGAUACUUAUACCUUGGGAAGACAAAUAUGUGGUUGCGGCCACCAGAUAACCUGAAAUAUGGCAUUUGACUUAACACCUGCAACCAAAGGGUUUUGAUAGAAAGAAGAUCAUACAUAAAGGAAAACGUAUAUGAGAGGAAAUGGAUACAGUGACAUUUCAGUUGAAGCUCUAAAGAAAAGAAAAAUAUCACUAUUAUUCAACUGUGGCAAUAAAUAGAACUUCGAAAGAGUUUUGACAGCACAAUGUAAUUUUAAGGUUCCUGAUAUUUACUACCUUCACAUAGGUCUGAUUAAUCUCUUUGUCAUUCAGGCCGCCCAUCAUCCGAACACAUUUAGGAUAAGCAGGCACAAAGAAAAGAUCGGCCUCUUCUUUCUUUCUGGUCCUGAACCUUGACUGCAAAAGCAUCCUAUGUAUCUUAACCUACAGGCACAUCAGAAAAACAAGAUAGAGAAGCAUUAGAGAGUUAAACUUAAAACUAUAUAAAGAAACCUAAUAACGAAAAUUUCAUGUUAUUAUUGGGGAGGUAACAAUGUAAUUCUUGCAGGUUUUUACUAAUGUUGCCCUCAAGAAAAAAGGAGCCAAAAUGAAAUACUUAGAUUUUGUCCAUAGUUCAAAGUGAGAAUGGAGAGUGAAUUCUCAGUGAUACCUUGCAUGGACAGAGAAAUUUAUUGACACAAUGAGUCAUCUUUGUAACUGGAACUUUGGAAGUUAAGGAAAUGAAGGGAAAAAAAGGAAGAAAAUAUCAAAACCUCUUUAUUGAUUUCCAAAUAAAGAUAGAUAACUUCUUUUGAUGUGUAAACUGUAAAGAACAAUUUACCCCAUCAAUACGAAAGUGUUGGUGAAUGUGAGCCUUGGAGCAACAGUAAGUUGUCUCUGUGUAACCUAUAGGUCACGGGUUCGAGAUGUGGAGUCGGUCACCAUGCUUGCAUUUGGUUAGGCUGCCUACAUCACACACUCUUAGGGGUGCGGCCUAUUCCCCGACCCCGCGUGAAUGUAGGAUGCUUAGUGCACCGGGUUUCCAUUUAGUAAGAAAGUGCUGGUUUGGAGGCUAAGAAGAGGAUUUACAGUCACACAUACUGUAAACUGCUGAGGAAAUGAAGAAUGGCUUCGACAUCAUUUACAAUGCCUACUUGCACCAAAAGUGUGGCGAAAUUAUACAUUUAUGCUUAGGGCUAAUGAAAUUUUCAAAUUUGUCUUCAAAAACUGUAUGGCUUCUUUCCUCCAAAGAGUUCACCAACUAGCUGCUGGGAUGGAAUGCCAAAUACUGAUACUUGCCUCGGUGAGGUUUUUUUACUGUACAACUAACUCUUCAAGAAGGCAAGGAUUGGUUUUAAUAUUGAAGAAGAGUGGCCACAUUCGAUGUGUGAAAUGACAGUGCAAGAAGGCAAGGAUUGGUUUUAGUGCCAGUUGUCAAAUAGGACCACUGCAUAGCUGUUCUCUAUAUAUACUAGCAAAGUUGCUCGGACUCUCCAAAAAUGUUGCCGCAACCGUGUUGGAUCCUUCAAAAAGACAUUAUUUUUGGAAUAUUCGACACACACCCAUUGACAUUUUUUAAGAGUCCGAGCAACAUAGCAUACUAGUACUCUUAGCUUGUAACUUCUUUUUCAUUAAUUCAGAAGUUACAUUAAUUCAAUCAAAGGAUUUUUCCCAUUCAAUCGAUUAUCUCCAUAAUUUCAAUAUGGUAUCAGAGCUGUGAAUCAAAGGACGAUUCAACAAAUAAAUUUAACAACGCAUUCCGCAAAUUGCUGAUAAUCUUCUGAGAAAUUUGAAGAAAUGGUGAGUGCACCAGGCACUGCCACGGAAACAGAGACAGUUGCAGCUGAAACUCUUGAAGGAAUUGAUCAAAGGCGCAAUCAUCCACUGUAUCUACAUCCUUCGGAUAAUCCGGGCAGUGUUCUCAUCACCGUGCAUCUUACAGGGAUGGAAAACUAUUCUCUAUGCAGUAGAUCCAUGUUGAUUAAUCUUCAAGCUAAGAGUAAGCUGCGGUUUGUGCUAGGGACAUGCAAGAGAAGUGAUUAUCAAGGAGAACUGGGAGCACAGUGGGAAAAUGCAAUGCAUUUGUGCUUGCAUGGAUCAUGAAUAUGUAUUGAAGGAGCUACUAAGUGGUAUAGUUUAAGCAACGGAUGCAGCUGCAGUGUGGGCCAAUCUGAAGGAGAGGUUCGACAAGGUUGAUGGAUCUAGAAGUUAUCAAUUGCAUAGAGAUUUGCACUAUUCAUCAGGUAAUUUGAGUGUUUCUGCAUAUUUCUCUACAUUGCAUUUACUCUGGGAUGAAUUCAGUGCACUUGUUUCUCCUCCUUCAUGUAAUUGUGUGAUAAAUCUAGAACCUAUGUGGAUCAUUUAGCAUGUCUGAGGCUAUUUUCCUUUUAGAUGGGGUUGAGUGAGGUGUAUGCACAGGCACACAUUUAAAUUCUAAUGAUGUAUCCAUGACCUAGUGGGGGGAGGGCAUAUGCCAUGAUAAUGGCGGAUGAAGGUCAGUGUAUGACAGCAGAUUCACAAACUGGAGGGGAUAUUUUAGAUUCGACUGGGACUACUUUAUAUGUAGGAAAGGGAAGUUUUCAGAAAAAGUUUUAGUUUAAGAAGAAAAACUGGGACCAAAUCUGUGAUUACUGUAAGCUCCAAGGACAUGUAAUGGAUGACUGUUUCAGAUUGAUUGGUUAUCCUGGAAGUUUAAGAAGAAAUCAGGACAAGCUUUUAACCAAAUGCAGAAUAACCAGAUGCAACAUAAGAGACAGCAAACUGUAGCUAACGAUGCUUAUGGAAAACAGGAAUGCAAUGCACUCAGAUAUGGCUAACAAUGCUUAUGGAAACAGGAAUGCAAUGCACUCAGAUGUGGCUAACAAUGUUUAUGGUAACAGGAAUGGAAUGCACUCAGAUGAUGAAUUUGCAAACUGCAACAGGAAUAUAAAUCAUUAUACAGCUGAUGCUUUUGCACCAAUGGACAAAGGGACGAAUCAGGUGCUCCCAGUAAUUGCAACUCAGCCUAAUUUUACUCCUGGUCAAUAUCAGAACAUUGUGAAAAUGAUGGAUGGUGAUGAAGGAUCAAGUUCAGCAGUUUGGAACAAUGUAGCAAACAUGGCAGGUACAUCUGUCUCUUAGUGCUUUUUCUGUAUCAAACAGAGGAACAGAUAAAGCAAAGAGUUGGAUAGUUGACUCAGGAGCCAUAUGCCACAUUACUCCUAAAAUUAAUAGAUCAAAUUCUGUGUCUAGAAAAGAGAGUUGUGUAGGAAGGCAAGUGCAAUUACCUACUGGUGAAAUGAUUGCAGUAAUACACUCUGGGAGUUGUAAAACAAUAGAUGGUGGCUUGUUACAAGAUGUGUUAAUUGUUCCUAGUUUCAAGUAUGACUUGCUUUCAGUUUCACAGUUAACAAAAACAGCUGAAGUGUUCUGUUAACUUCUUCCCUGAGUUUUUUGUAUUUCAGGAUCUCUCUACUGGGAAGGUGAGGGGGAUUGGUAAAGAGGUAGAUGGAUUGUACUAUUACCUUAAUCAGAUUCCUUUUGAUAAAGGCAGAACUGAGAAGCUGUUCAUGAUACAACACUCGGAGUUAAGCAAAUUGUUGUGGCAUAACAGGUUGGGACACCCUUCAGUCAAGGUGCUUAGACAACUAUCUCUCUUGAAGAAUGAUAGUGAUAUUACAAUAUGUAAUAAAUGUCCAGUAUGUCCACUAGCAAAACUAUUAGAAUAUGAUUAGAAAUAUGAAUAGUAUAUACCAAAUCCUACUUGGAAAAGGAUUGUACUAUAGUGUCUAUAAAUAGGGUCUUGAUGUAAUUAUGUUAACACAAUUUUUCAAUAAUAUUUUCUCCAUUAAUUCUCACAUGGUAUCAGAGAGCUGGUGAGAAACUUCAGAAAAGAAAACUCAGUCACCAUCGUCAAUUCCGGUGACUGAUUUGUGCCAUCUUUUAUUUUGUGGGUUGUGUGAAAAAUACAAUACCACCAAGAGGUUUGGAAAGCUCAGGCGACACAAACCCAACCCAACCCACCGGAAAACAACCCUCCACGCGCCCCACGCGCUUGUCGGAAAUCCGGCAAGAUCAAUCAUGCGCCGGCGCAUGAGACUUCUCCGGUUGAAUUUUUUGAGUGGUUCCUUUUUUGUUGGGGUCGCCGUUCUAUUCCGAUCCGUCCACUUAUUUGUUUUUCAGAUUCCGGUGACUUUUGAAGAUUCCGGCCGACGGAAUUAGGGUUCUGGCGACUUAAAAAAAAAACUGAAAGUUCAAAUUUCCAGACUUCCAGAUUCUGUUUCUUGGUAUUUUCAAGUUAAAAUUUCCAAAAUGUCUUUUGGGUAUGAUGUUUUUGUCCCCAAAACUACCGAUAUCGGAAGUUCAAGUCCUAUGAUCACUUCCGAACCAUUAAUGAGAAGUUCAAAUAAUUUAGCCCGGGCUCCCUCAGUUGAGUUGUGAUGCAAAGGUCAAGGUGUCCAAGAUCAUUUAACAAACAAAGCUAGUGUGGUAGAUGAAAAGGGAAAGUCGAGCGCAGAAAAUGCGAAAGCUAAAGAGCAAUGGGAGAAAGUUGACGCUCAAUUAUGUAGUCUCUUAUGGCGAUCUAUUGAUUCUAAGUUGGUGCCUUUGUUUCGUCCAUUCCAGACGUGCUAUUUAGUUUGGAAAAAGGCUCGUGCUUUAUAAACAAAUGACAUAUCUCAUUUUUAUGAUGUGAUAGCACUCGAAUGACCAACUUGAAGAAACAGGAAUCCGAUAUGUCUACUUACUUGGGACAAGUACAAGCAGUCAUGGAAGAAUUUGAUACAUUGAUGCCCGUCACUGCGGAUGUAGAAAAACAACAAGAGCACAGAAAGAUGUUUUUAGUUCUUACACUUGCUGGACUUUCUACUGACCAUGAUGCUGUACGUGAUCAGAUUUUAGCUAGUCCUACGGUUCCUACAAUUGAUGAGUUAUUCUCUCGUCUGCUUCGUCUUGCCGCGCCUCCCAAUCACAAAGUAGGUUCAUCACCAACUGUCGACCCUUCUAUUCUUGCAUCUCAAACCAUGGAAAAACGAACAUAUCAACCAAUGAAAAAUCGGCGAGGAGGAGGUCGUUCUAGAAAAUCUCGAUCGAAGUGUAGUUAUUGUCAUAAAGUUGGACACACUCAGGAUAUAUGUCAUAGUUUGCAUGGUCCACCACCCAGUUAUGAUCCUGCUGCUGUAAAGGAAUAUAAUAAGUUCCUUCGGUUAAGCAAACAUCUCCACAACCUAAUCGACCAUCCAAUAAUGCUCAUAUUGCCCAAACAGAAUAUGAUGAGUUCCUUUGGUAUAGAGCAAGUAAGCAGACAUCUCCACAAGUAGCCUUAGUUGCCCAGCCUAAUGCUUCUGUUGCUGGUAAUCCUUUUGCUUGCGUUUCACAGUCUAAUACUCUUGGAUCAUUGGUUGUGGACUCAGGUGCUUCUGAUCAUAUUUCUAGUAACAAAUCACUUUUUUCUGAUAUUGUUUAUUCACAAUCUCUUCCUGCUAUUACUUUAGCCAAUGGGAUCCGACCAAAACCAAAAGGAAUUAGACAAGCCAAACCCCUAUCUUUUGUCACCCGAGACUCUGUUCUUUAUGUCCCUGGUUGUCCUUUUAAUCUUGCAACUGUUAGUCGUUUGACACGUGCCCUUAAUUGUAGCAUAACUUUUUUUAAUGACUCUUUUCUAAUGCAGGACCGCAGUACGGGACAAACGACUGGCGCAGGACAUGAAUCACAAGGCCUUUACCAUCUCACCUCUUCAAAUUCCUUCACAGCAUGAUCUGUUACAGAUCCUCCAGACCUAAUUCACAAACGUUUAGGACAUCAGAGUCUAUCCAAGCUACAAAAGAUGGUGCCUAGUUUGUCUAAUUUAUCCACAUUAGAUUGUGAGUCAUGUCAACUUGGGAAACACACCCGUGCUACUUUCCCACGUAGUAUUGAGAAUCGUUCAGAGUCUAUUUUCUCAUUAGUAUAUUCUGAUGUUUGGGGUCCUAGUAGAGUCAGUUCACCUUUAGGUUUUCUUUAUUUUGUUAGUUUCAUUGAUGAUUUUUCAAGAUGUACUUGGGUUUUCUUAAUGAAAGAUCGUUCUGAGAUAUUUUCUAUAUUCAAAAGUUUUUGUGCUGAAAUACAAACUCAAUUUGGUGUUUCUAUUCGUACUUUUCGUAGUGAUAAUGCCUUAGAAUACUUAUCCUCUCAGUUUCAGGAGUUUAUGACUCAUCAAGGAAUUGUUCACCAGACAUCUUGUCCAUACACCCCUCAGCAGUCUGCUAUAGCAGAAAGAAAAAAUAGGCAUCUUCUUGAGACUGCUCGCACUCUUCUUAUUGAAUCUCGUGUUCCGCUGCAAUUUUGGGGCGAUGCAGUCCUCACAUCCUGCUAUCUAAUUAAUAGAAUAUCAUCAUCUUCCAUUCAGAAUCUGGUUCCCCAUUCUAUAUUGUUUCCACAGUCACAUCUCUACUCUAUUCCCCCUCGUGUCUUUGGGAGCAUAUGUUUUGUUCAUAGCUUAGCCCUUGAAAAAGAUAAAUUAGCCCCUCAUGCUCUCAAGUGUGUCUUCCUUGGUUACUCUCGAGUUCAAAAAGGGUAUCGUUGUUAUUCACCAGAUCUUCGUUGCUACUUUAUGUCCGCCAAUGUCACCUUUUUUGAAUCUCGACCUUACUAUAUAUCUUCUGAUCAUCUUGAUAUCUCUGAGAUUUUACCCGUAUCUCCAGUCUUACCCACACCAUCCUUGGUCUUACCCAUAUCUCCAGACAUACCCGAACCAACCUUUAAGGAAUCAACGGUUACUUUUACGUCUCCUACUAUAGUGCCACCACUUAUGACUUAUCAUCGUCGUUCACGUCCACCAAGUAGUCCUAGAUGAUUCAUGUCAUGCGUUGGACGCUGCUCCUACUGCGGACUUGCCUUCUCCUAGCCAAUCAGUUGCACUUCAAAAAGGUAUGCGUUCCACUCGUAAUGCUAACCCACACUAUACUUUCUUGAGUUAUCAUCAUUUAUCAUCGCCCCAUUAUGCUUUUGUAUCAUCUUUGUCAUCUAUUUCCAUCCCUAAGACUAUAGGUGAAGCACUUUCUCAUUCGGGAUGGAAGCAGGCUAUGAUAGAUGAGAUGUCUGCUUUACAUGCGAGUGGUACUUGGGAGCAUGUUUCCUUCCUGCAGGUAAAUCUACUGUUGGUUGCCGUUGGGUUUAUGCAGUCAAAGUUAGUCUAGACGGUCAAGUUGAUCGGCUUAAGGCUCGCCUUGUUGUCAAAGGAUACACGCAAAUAUUUGGGCUUGAUUAUGGUGACACUUUUUCUCCAGUGGCUAAAAUAGCAUUUGUCUGUCUUGUCUUAUCCAUUGCUGCCAUUCGUCAUUGGCCUCUUUGUCUGGUAGCCUUGUAUGUCAAUUGCUCAGGACACUCCUAUGGAUCCAAAUGCCAAACUUCUACCAAGACAGGGGAAGCCACUCAGUGAUCCUGAAAGGUAUAGGCGGUUGGUCAGAAAGUUGAAUUAUCUCACCGUGACUAGACCUGACAUAUCCUUUCCUGUGAGUGUUGUAAGUCAGUUCAUGACUUCCCCCUGUGAUAGUCAUUGGGAUGCAGUUGUUAGUAUUCUGCAAUAUAUAAAGUCAGCUCCAGAUAAAGGACUACUCUUUGAGGAUCGGGGUCACAAGCAUAUCAUUGGAUACACAGAUGCUGAUUGGGCAGGCUCACUCUCUGAUAGACGUUCUACCUCCGGAUAUUGUGUUUUAGUAGGAGGUAAUUUGAUGUCUUGGAAGAGUAAGAAACAGAGUGUGGUUGCUCGAUCUAGUGCAGAAGCUGAAUAUCGAGCAAUGGCUGUAGCAACUUAUGAGCUAGUUUGGAUCAAACAGUUGCUGAGAGAAUUAAAAUUUGGAGAAACGGGUAAGAUGGAACUUGUGUGUGAUAGUCAAGCAGCCCUUCAUAUCACAUCAAAUCCAGUGUUUCAUGAGAGGACUAAACACAUAGAGAUUGAUUGUCACUUUGUCAGAGAAAAAAUACUCUCAGGAGAUAUUGUUACAAAAUUUGUGAAGUCAAGUGAUCAACUUGCAAAUAUCUUCACCAAAUCCCUCACCGGUACUCGUAUUAAUUACAUUUGUAACAAGCUAGGUACAUAGGAGUGUUAGAAUAUGAUUAGAAAUAUGAAUAGUAUAUACCAAAUCCUACUUGGAAAAGGAUUGUACUAUAGUGUCUAUAAAUAGGGUCUCGAUGUAAUUAUGUUAACACAAUUUUUCAAUAAUAUUUUCUCCAUUAAUUCUCACAAAAACAAACUAGGUUACCUUUUCAAUUGAGUAUGUCUAAAACUGAAGCUAGUUUUGACUUGAUUCACUUGGAUAUCUAGGGACCAUAUAAGAGUCCCACACAUAAUAGAUGUAGAUUCUUUCUGACCAUUCAAGGAUGACUUGGUUGUACUUGUUGAAAUGAAUAAUGAAGUUUUUUCUGUGCUGAAAUCAUUCUUUAUGUUAGUUCAAACUCAAUUCAAUAAACAUGUUAAGAGGAUGAGAUCUGAUAAAGUCACAGAGUUCUUUAACAAUGAAUGUGAUACAUUAUUCAAGUCUUUGGUAUCAUCCAUGAGAGUAGCUGCCCAUACACUAGACAACAAAAUGGAGUGGUUGAAAGAAAACACAGAUACAUACUUGAAGUGGCUAUAGCCUUGAAAUUUCAAGGGAAAAUCCCUAUUAGAUUCUGGGGUGAGUAUGUAUUAGCUGUUGUCUACUUGAUAAGCAGAUUAUUACUGCAGUUUUAAAGGGAGUUUCAUGGACAUAAGGUAAGCCUAGAUCAUCUGAGAACUGUAGGUUGUUUAUGCUAUGCAACUGGUGUGAUGAAAACUGAUAAGUUCUCUCCUAGAGCUGAAGCAUGUGUAUUGAUGGGAUACUCAACUACUCAGAAAGGUUACAUUCUAUACAGUUUACAUCAAAGAAAGUUGAUAGUUAACAGAGAUGUUGUAUCCCAGGAGCAUGUAUUUCCAUUUCACAGCAAGAGCAGUGACUAUGCCCAUGUACAAUUAUUUUCACCUAAUCCUCCUGGUAAUUCAUCUUCCAUUGAAGAUACUGCAACACAUUCUGAAGAGAUUCAGGCAUCAAGUCCAGUAUUUGUGAAUAAUGAUGUCCAUACAAUGGUAAAAGGAAAUGAGUUGCAUAUUAAUCAUGAUCCUAUAGAAGAAGAUGGUGAUAUUGCGGACUUGCAACCUGCAAUUCCUGAAGAUAAUGCUCUCGCUGAAGGAAAUGUUGGUAAUGUAGAUUUGCAGCCCGUAAUUCCUGAAGAAAAUGUGGUUAAUAUUGUACCUGCUGGUCAAUCAAGAAGCUACAUACAUUCUACUAGGACUUCUCAUCCUCCCAUUUGGAUGAAGGAUUAUGUUGCUCCACUGUGAAAGUCUCAUCCCUAUUCUCAAAGCAAUUAUGUUUCAUACCAUGGGAUAUCUUCUAAAUAUAAAGCCUAUUUGUCUCAGUUUUCCACAGAAGUUGAGCCUCGAAAUUAUGAAGAAGCAGUCAAGGAUAAGAGAUGGAUAAAAGCUAUGCAACAAAAAAUUCAAGCCUUAGAAGAAAAUGAGACAUUGAAAUUGGUUGCAUUACCACCAGGGAAGCCAGCAAUUGGCUGCAAGUGGGUUUUCAAGAUCAAGUAUAGAUCUGAUGGUCAUAUUGAGAGGUUCAACGCCAGGUUAGUAGCAAAGGGAUAUAAUCAAAGUGAAGGGAUUGACUACCAGGAAACUUUUUUUCCAGUAGUGAAAAUGAUCAUUGUCAGAUAUAGCCAGCCUUAGCUGCGGCUGAGCAUUGGGUUAUGUGCCAAAUGGAUGUCUUUAAUGCCGUCUUGCAAAGUGAUUUGUUUGAAGAAGUUUACAUGGAAUUACCUAAAGGGUUUUGUAGUAAGGGGAAGCAUAGCAAUCUUGUCUACAAGCUUGUUAAAUCUCUUUAUGGACUUAUACAAACUUCUAGACAAUGGAAUGCUAAGUUGACAGAAGCACUUUGCACCUCAGGAUAUACACAGAGUCAUCUAGAUUACUCCUUGUUUACUAGGAGGAGAGGAACUGGGUUUAGUUGUGGUAUUGGUUUAUGUUGAUGAUCUAUUGAUCAUAGGAAAUGAUGCAGCAUUGAUAGCAGAGACUAAGCAGGUUUUACACAGUCAUUUCAAGAUCAGAGACUUGGGAGAACUCAAGAAUUUUUUGGGAAUUGAAUUUCUCAGAUCUGAUAAGGACAUAGUGACGAACCAGAGAAAAUAUGCUCUUGAGUUGAUAGCUGAAGUGGGGCUAGGAACAGCAAAACCAAUUUUGACACCCUUAGAAUGCAACAUGAAGUUGACCAGUAUGGAAUAUGAUCAAGUUGGCAAGGGCAAUCAUUCUAAUGAUCCCGCAUAUAAAGACAUUCCAAAAUACCAGAGACUUGUUGGAAAACUACUUUAUCUUACUAAUACUAGACCAGAUAUCACAUAUGCAGUACAAUCUUUGAGUCAGUUUAUGCAGAAUCCAAAGAUGUCACAUUGGAAUGCUGCUCUAAGAGUGGUUAAGUAUAUCAAGAUGGAACCAGGAAAGGGAUUGCCGAUGAGUUCAGAACACAAACCUCACUUGACAGGGUAUUGUGAUAGAGAUUGGGCAGCCUGUCCAAGCACAAGGAGGUCUGUUACAGGUUUCUUGCUUAAGUUUGGUGAUUCUUUAAUUGGUUGGAAGUCAAAAAAACAAAACACUGUGUCUAGAAGUUCAGCAGAGACAGAGAGGUAGAAUACAGGAGUUUAACUGUGUUAACAGCUAAAGUUGUUUGGGUGACAAGCUUGUUUAAAAAGUUAGGAGUGCAGUUGAUUGAACCUGCUUCCAUUCACUAUGAUAGCAAGGCAGCCUUGCAAAUAGCUGCAAAUCCAGUGUUUCAUGAACGUACCAAACACAUUGAGAUUGAUUGUCAUUUCAUUCAAGAAAGGAUACAAAGAGGACUGAUCAAGACCUUCUACAUCAACAUUAAAGAUCAACAAGCUGACUUGCUUACUAAAGCAUUAGGAAGAUCACAACUAAGUUUCGUUAGGCAAGCUUGGAGUCUGGAAUCUUUUCAGUACAUCCAGCUUGAGAGGAAAUCUUGUAAUUGGUUAAUGAUGUUGAUUAGAUUAAAUUAGUCAGUUAAUUAAUUAUCUAUUUGGUAGUUAGCCUGUUAGUUAGAUGGUUAUAGAUAAUUAGAUAUUUAAGUGCCAGCUGCCAUAUAGGACCACUGCAUAGCUGUUCUCUAUAUAUACUAGUACUUCGUAGCUUGUAACUUCUUCUUCAUUAAUUCAAUCAAAGGGUUUUUUCCCAUUCAAUCGAUUAUCUCCAUAAUUUCAAUAGUUCCCUUAAGAUCCUUUUCCGGUUUCUCCUUUUCUAAUGUCCCUUCCUGUGCAACAAAGACUUAAAAUUCGAAGAAGAGAUAGUUACAAAUUAACAACCUCACACCACUUUGACUUUUAAGUAUUAAUCCAUCAAUGUUAGGUAUGGAAAAAGUACUGUUUUAUAACAAUUGGACUCUGAUAUUUUUGAUAAUGUAAUAACUGAACAUAGAUAUGAGGGCAAAAACAGGCUCUUCACUCAAAGUUCUAACUUAUGUACAGUUCUCCCUGCAGGAAAAACUCAUCUCAAUCAUUCUCUUGUACCCAAAGCACUACUGUUUUCAUUGACCUGAUUUCACUGAAAGUUAUUUCAAGCUACCUAGAUUUGCUGCUAGCUUUCGAUAACCACAUCCACAAUGUAAUAAUUAGUUUUUAACCAUGCCCCCAUGAUAAUAACUACUCUAAAGCAUCUUCAAUCUAAGAUAGGGAAUACAUGAUUAAAUAAAACUAUAAAUUUCUUGGUGAUUCGCCAUUUUCUCACUAAUAUGUUAGGUGUUGCAAAAAUCAAUGGGUGGAGCUGCUACUGACUCUGGUCUAUGAAUACAAAUUUACCCAAGUUCGUGAAAACUAAAAUGACACCUAAAUUAAGUUGAACUUCAACACACUAUCCUCCUAACAUAUGCAGUAAUAGUUAUGCAAUAAGACCUUACCAAAAUUCUUGAAAAUCAAAAUGGCAGCCAAAUAAGUUAUAAACUUAGAAUGAAUAACUUCCACUACAUUAUGCUGAAAAACUUGAUUAUCCAAAAAAAAAAAAAAAUCAAAAUGGCAGAGAGCCGAUGGGAAAGUAGUCCGUUAUGCGAGGAAACACCAGAUAGACAUCAUUGGCACCAAGCGUGAGGGAAUGCCAGAUGUUUGGUAAUUUCUCCUCCGACCAUAGUAAAUGAUCCCACUGAAAGCCUCCACUUAUGAAAGGCCAACCCGGCAUAAUAGGCAUAGCAAUGCAAAGAGCUUUACUUGGAAAAAAAGGAGGAACAUUUAUCACACGUGGAAAAUGUGAGAAAUUCCCACAUGAAUAUUCUACCAUAAUGGGCAUUCAACAUGAAUACUCUACCAUAACAGGCAUUCAAGAAUCCAAACAUGAAAUUUAAAAGAAUUUGAAAGAAAUUGUUUGAGAAUUGAUCUAUAUGGAACUUGUAUAUUUGUGUCAUGGGUCCUGGAUGUAUAACUGCUCAAGAUAUGAUCUUGCCGCCAUAUGAGAAGUUAAACUUAAAAAUGAAUAACUUCCACUACAAAAAUUUACACAUUUCCCAAAUCCAAUCUGAUAAGCAGAAAAAUAUCCAAGCUAAUAUAUAUUUAUAUUAACAAAAACUAAGAAAAUCUCCUUCUCAUCAUAAUACUAGGAAAAUAGGGAAAUUACCUGAGUACCCCAUUGGCCUUUAACACAAGAAUCAGGAGAAAUCAUGUCAUCACGGCCAAACAACAAGUGUUUCAACCCAUUAAUCUCAUUCUCAUCAUACACAUAAAUCUUCAACGAAAGAUGGGUCCCAUAUCCGCGCUCCGGCCAAAAGAGGGCCCCACCAGAAUCAGAGAACCGCACGACGUCGUUCUUCGAUCUGUAUUCACCAGAAGUAGUAGUAGUAGGGAUUGAGAAGGAAGAGGAAUUUAGUGACUGAUCGAAGAUUCUGGUGAGGAAGAAAGUGACGAUGAUGAGAGCUAGAGCGCCGAUCUGGUGAGUGCGAGUGCAUGGGGUUAUGGUGUUACUGUGGUGUGAAGUGAAUGGUCUGCUGCUCUUGCUGCUGUGUAUACUUCCCAUUGUUGAUUGCUACUGAGCAGAGAAGAGCAGUGACGGGAGUGUUGAAAACGCAAGGAGGGAGAUGGAAGAUCCAAGUACCCUACGUCAUCGUUUCGUGUUUGUAGUAGUAGAAACCAUUACUUUUUGUUUUAACUUUUAACUCUUAGGUGACACUUUUACUACUUCCAGCUCUUGUAUUCAAAUUACGCGAAUUUUAUAGCUAGCUUUGGUCAUGCCAUGUAUUUUUGACAAGUAUUCUUUUGGUGAACUUUAAUAUUAUAGCCCCUAAAAUAUUUCACUUUUUUUUAUAGGCACUUCAAUUAAAAAAGAUAUUUAUUGAAUUCUUUAUUCCUUUAAAAAUAGUUUCAAUUGAGUCCAAUUCUCCAACGUGGCAGUUUGCGUGUACUCACGUUUGGGAGGCUCGUGAAAUAUCAUGGAACCAGCUUAUGUGGCACCCAACGGAUCUUUUAUCCUCUUUUUAUACCCAAUUUCUUUAAAAAAAAACCUAAUUCCCACUUUGUUCCUCUUUUUAUACUCAAUUCUUAAUAUCCACCAUUUUUGUUUCCUAAAUUCUCCUCCUCUUAAAUUCCUUUUCGGCCUUUUCUCUUGCUCCGCUUAAACUCUCCUACUCUUAUUAAUUUCUUCUUCUUACUCGUUUUUAGUAGUAAUGUCCAAUUCAUCUUUUUCAUUGUCUUCAUCUUCUUCAAUUCCAAAAGGAGUAUGUUUAUGUGGGGUGAAAGCUGAAAUUAAGACCUCGUGGACACAACUCAACACUGGUCGGAGAUUUUUUUGCUGCAAAACUUCAAAGGUAUUCAUCUUUUGCUGCUUCAUUGGACGAAAUGCAAUUACUUCGAUUAGUGGAUGCAAUUUUUAAGUUUAAUUUUUUCUUUAAACCUGUAGGCGAGAGGUAGAUGCAAUUACUUUAAUUGGUAUGAUUAUGAAAUGCCUCCUCAAGCAAAGAGGGUGAUGUGGGGUUUAUUGAAAAAAGUCAAAUCAUUUGAAAAAAAGAGGAAUCGAUGAAGAAAAUUUAAAGUGAUAUGUGUUGGGGCGAUAGUGAUUUUGGCUACAUAGAAUUUCUUCAAGAAAUGUUCUUAGAUUUUGACAAAUAUUGGCUUAGGUUUCUUAUAUAUGGGACUGUUUUGAUUUGACUAAUUCUGAAAUAUAUUAGUUGUAUUGGGACUGUUUUGCUUUGGCUGUCCUGUUGUAGUGGGAUUAUUGUGUAUGAAACAAUUAAGAAGGAAUGAAGAUAAGUUGUGAGAUGUUACUCUCUUACUAUGUUUUGAUUUUUCUUUACUGUUGUAAUUGGUUUAGUUAGAUUACUGUACUCUAUUUUUUUAAAAGUUCAAAUGAUUCAUUUAAAUGAUUCAAAGCUGUCACAUAUUUCACACAAAAGGAACCACCAUUCAAUAAUUAUCUAAAGCACAAGAGCACAAGUGCAACUGAUCGACAUUUUAAACACAAUAAUCUACCAUUUAACUGCUCAAAAUGAGCUCCAACCAUACAUUAAGUGUUUAUCAAGAACUAAUCUAAACAGACCACAAAAAAUAGUUCAGAAUCUUCAAAGCCCCCAACAAAAUACCAAAGUAGCCAUACAACUAAUCACCAAAAUAUACAUUGUACUAAAAACACAAUUAAUUCAACAACUUUAUAUUCCUCCUGGUGCACUAGAACUUUCAAGUUAGCUUCUUUUUUGACUGACUCAUACUCUCCAAUUAAGAAGUUGUGACAACAUUCUUUCCCUUCCACUUCAUUCCUCGAGGCAUAUAACCAAUAUCAAUAUUUGUUUGAGUUACAUCUUUGUAAACACCACGAGUGGCAAUUGUUUCACCUCUAGUUCCAGGCUGCAUAAAAUAAAGUAAAAUUAGAUUUGUCAAAAGAUCAUUAAAAAUUACAUGAAUUGAAGUUGUAAUUCACACUUACAUUUAAUGUUUUACUGCAACUCAUUUGAUCAGUGUAGAUACCAAAUCCUACUGUCUUACACUUCUUUUGUCUUAUUGAUGAUGUUGAUGCUCCAAUGGUCCUUUUUUCCCCAAGUUGCUGAUCAGAUACACUUUCUUUUUCUCUACCUCUGCUAGUGCCUCUUCUAAAUCCUUUGCUUUUGCCAGCUCUCUUACCUUUGUCAGUGCUUGUACCUCUACCUCUACCUCUACCUCUACCUCUACCUCUUCCAGUUGGCUGUACUCUUAUAACUGCUGAGGUAUCAACACACAUAGAACUGUUGAAGCUUAGUUGCUGGCUGAAUCUUUGUGGCAUGCUAGAACUUGGUGGUUGGUUGAAGCUUGGUGGCCUGGCAGAGCUUGGUGGCUGGCUGAAGCUUGGUGGCUUGCUAGAGCUUAGUGGCUGGCUGAAGCUUGGUGGCCUGCUAGAACUUACUGCCUGGCUAGAACUUUCAGGUUAUCCCAUUCCAUCCUAACAAUAAAGGAUAUUAAAUAUAUAUUAUAAAUAUCAUAAUUUAAUUAUUGAAUUAAAAGAUAUAAGUGCAUUACCUGAGCUUUACAAAGAGUUCUGUUAUGACCAAUUUGAUGACAUUUGGAGCAAGAAAUUUUCAGUCCUUUCCUGGAUAGCUUCCCAUACUUCUUCUUAGGCUCAUUCUUCCCUUUUUUUCUAUUCUUUCCUGGUCUGCCAGGCAUUGGUCUAGGCUCAGGAGGAUCAAUCACUACGCCACUUGUGUUAGGCCACAUUUUCAUAUUAAGGUAUUGGCUGAAGAAAGUAGUCAUAAGCCUUCAAGAAUGUAUCUUUCUUAUACCAUUCUUCCACAUAAAAUUCAGGCUCUAUACCUUUAUGUUGAUAAGCCAAUACAGCAUGUUGACAUGGUAUGCCUCUCAAUUGCCAGCUUCUACAAGUGCAAGUCCUUGCCCUAAUAUCAACUAUAUGCCUAUAAGGACCAUCUAAAAUUUCAUACCCAAUCUGUCCAUUGAACCUAACUGUGCAAUUUCUAGCCAUAUCUUUGUUUUUUCAAGUACUAGCAAAGCCAUAGGAGAGAUGUCUGAAAUGCAGGUAUCAAUAAACUUCCUCAUUUCAAUAUUUCUAUCCAUUAUCUUGUGUUUAAUCUCCUUUAACAUACUGAUUAUAGAUUUAUGUCUACCAGCUAAAAUCCAUGAAUUAAAAGUCCCAUACAUAUUAUUCUCAACAAUGUCAUAUUUAGAAUGCUCCCUAAAAUAUGCCCUGCACUAUGAUUUUUUUUCAUAAUGUAAUAAGUCCUCACAAAUAUCCUUACCAAGUUGACUGAGUUUGCCCAUCUCAUCCAAAAACUUCACUUCAAAGCUGGAUUUAGCAUACCUCUAAAAUUGUUUUCUUUUUUCUUCUCCUCUCCAGAUUUGAUGCCAAUUGGACCAGAUGUGUCUUGCACACCACCUCAUUUCACAAUCUGGUAGCAACUCAAGUAUAGUAGGUACAAGAUCCUACAUUAGCAUAAAUACAAAAUCAAAACACAAAAUAUAUGAACAUGGAUUGUAUAGUAAAUAAAUAGAAGACAUCAAAAUUAAAGUUUAAAAAAUAGGAUAACCUUUUGCAUAUCUGACAUGACAGUCAGUCCAUAUCCAGUGCCUAAGUUCAAAUCUUGAAUCAAGUGGUUAAUGAAGAAGCUCCAGCUAUGUUUUGUCUCUUGAUCAACCACUGCCCAGGCUAUUGGAUACAUUUGAUUAUUUCCAUUUCUCCCAACUACAACUAACAAUUCACUCUUGCAAGAACCUUUCAAAAAACAACCAUCUAACUCAGUAAUUUUUCUGCACCCUGCCAGCCAGCCUCUCUUUAAUGCAUCAAAGCAUAAAUAAGAAUAAAUAAAUAAUUUUUUCCAGGUUGAGACUCUCUAUCUAUCCUCACCCAACAAGAACUGGCAAGAUUAGUAUGAUUUAUCAUAUCUGCAUAGUCACACAACCUUGAAAAUUCCAUCUUCCAAUCACCCAAGAAUUCUUUAAUGAUUCUAUGGUUUGCCCUGCUACAGACAGUUUUUUCCACAUACAAACCCAAUUUUUUUCUCACUAAUUCCUAAAUUUCCCACAUUUUUAUAUAAGGUUGUAAAGUUACUUCAUUCAUGAACUUACUUGCAAUAAACAUAGAUGUGCACAACUUGUUUUUUAUAGUAGUAGUACAUACAUGUACAUGAUAGUAGUGCUUGACAACAAAGUCACCUGAAUACUUAUCAAUACUAGCAAACAACAACCAUUUACAUUUCUUGUUCUCACACCUAACUCUAACUCUAUGUUUCUCAUUAGACUUAAGCAUCAAUCUAACUUUGUAUUCAACAACAUACUCAGCCACAGCCUUUCUAAAUUGCUUAGCAUUUUCAAAUAUCAUACCAAGCUCAAAUAUAGCCAUAACACAAUCAAGAUCAAAUCUUACCUUUUUACUUUUCUUUCUUGCUGGUAAAUCAACACCCCUGAUAGCUUCAGGUUCCAGUCCAUCAGCACUGUCAUCACUAUCAACUUCUGAGCUAUCUAUAUACUCCUCAUCUCCCCCUGAUCUUUCACUGUAUCUAGAAGCCUUAUUCCUUCCAUUAUCUUCAAAUCCCCUAUCAACACCUGUUGAUCCAAGUUUUAUUUCUUCAUUUUAGACAGGUUUCUUAUGUUUCACACAGUUUCUCCUUUAAUUUCUAAGAGUUCUUAAAUCUUCAUCAACCUCAGAAUCAUCAUCUUCUGGUAUAUUAAACUCUUGAGAAUCAGCACUACUAUCAAGAUCUGUUCCAGUCCCUUCUAGAUCUGAGAGUUCAUCUACACCAGAUUUUAUAUCUAUGUUGUCAGUUUGCGUAAGUUCCUCAUGUAACCCUUCAACAUUAAUAUCAUAAAUUGUUGAUAUGUUUUUACCCACAUUACUAUUUUCACCAACCACAUUACUACUUUGAUCAUCUACUGUACCACAAAGAAAAUCAGAUGGGACCCCAUCUUCUACCACUUCUAACUCAUCUAUAACAUGGUUCACAUACAAGUCUAAAAAGUCCCUAUCUUUUAGGUCUUCAACAAUACUUACCAAAGUCAAGUCAUUUUCUACUUCAAUAAAGACUUUCUUUUUAGGGUAUUUAAAGUAAAACCCACCAACAGUCAUAUACCCAAAUUCUUUAGUAUAAUAAAACAACUCGAAUAUAGAAGAGUGGUUCUUGUCCAUACUUACAUAUUCCACCUCACUUUCUUCUAUGUAGCGUGGACCAUAUUCUUCAUCAGAAACAAACUUGUCACCGUGGUGAAAAUGAGUUGUAAUAAUAAUAUUAGCCAUCAGAUUCCUGAAACAAAACCCUAAAAAUACCUGACAAGUUAUGAAUAGUAAAAACCUUAGCUUUUUUCAUAUAUUUCCAAACUACCAUUACUAACGUAAUAUACUAACAAAGAACUAAUAAACCAUUUACAACUACAAUACAUGGCAAAAAUGUGACAAUAUUAACAUUUAAAACAUACCUGAGUGCGAUUCAAACAUAAAACAACAAUAAUUCUCGAGAUCCAACUCCAGAUUCUUCGCAACCAGUAAAGAAAUGUUGAAAUCAAUGUCAAACUUGAACUAAUUACUCAAAAAUACUAUGUAACUUUUCAUUAUACAACAAACGAAGCAUAAAUUAGUAGUAUUAGGAGUGAAAUCACGAUUUUAGGAUUUUUGAUAGAGAGAUUUGGAGGUGGGUAUGAGGGAUUUGACGUCAUAAGGGGGAAAUGAAGUGGAAAUUAUAUUUGUGUAUUAACUAAAAGAAACGGUUAGGUGUAAAAUAUAAUUGGUCAAAAUUUACGCGUAGGCGACGACUACAUACAUGCGCUCAACACGUUAAAAAAGAAGGCUUUAAAAAGGUGUCACGCCAGAUAAUUGGGCUCAAUUAAAACCAUUUGUGAAGGGGUAAAGGGUCCAAUAGGCAUCUGUCUUAAUUAAGGUGCCUAUACGAAAAAAGUGAAAUAGUUAAGGGGCCUGUAUAUGUAUUUAACCUUUACCUUAUAUCGUAUAUUUAGGAGUAAACCAUCUAGUACACACACUCCAAUUUGAUCGAGAUUUUAUUAUUUUUUGAAUUAAAUUUCAUCAUAUUUUAAUUAUUAUUUUAAGUUAUUUUUUAUGUGGACUUAAUUUUAUGUAAUAAAGGUGUUACGUCAGCAUAAAAAGGUGACAAAAAUAUGUUGAGAUUGAGUUCAGGGUAAUAGGAUUCAUGUGAAGUUGGAGUGUGUUGUAGCAACUUUGGUCUUCGAGGGGGUACUGAAUGCUUAUCUUUGUUUUUGGCUUUUGGUGAGAUAUAUUUGACUUUUUUAAAAAAAUAUAAUUUAUACUCUUAAGUUUUAAAAAUUAUUAAAACUAUUCAUAACUUUGUAUUAUUAUUUUUUAAAAUUAAACGCUUAUAACAAUUUCAUAAAUCAAUAUAGGAGCUAUUUUAGUUUUCUCAAAUAUUUUUUUUUUAUAUGUUAGUAUGUAAGAAUUUUGUACAUAUUUUAGUGUAUUAAUUGCAUAUGAAAAUCGUAUUGAAAUAAGGAAUCUUAUAAGAAAUUAAUUUAUAUAUCUAUCUCAUUUACUAAAUGGUAUUUCUUAUCGGGGUCUCAAUGUAAGUAAUUCGUAUUAAAACUACAAUAAAAAAUAUUAUGUGAAUUUAUUUGAAACUAGGUUUAUACUCAAAACAAAUUCUAUAUGUGUAUUGCAUUUUAUUUAGUUUUUUCAACCAAUUUAAAGUCAUGUUCUAUAUCAAUAUCAUAUACAAAAUAAUUUUUAAUUUGGAUUUUGGAUAUAUGAAGUUGGUAUGUAAAAUAAUAUACAAGAAUGGUGCUUAGUUAUAAAUGUCUUUAGUGAAUGAAAUGAUAUUGAAAUAGCCAUCAAAGAUCUGAAUAAUUCUUUUUGGAUGUUGCAAUCAAAAUAUGUAAAUUUAUAUUUUAAUAAUUUUUUUUGACGAUUGUGCUAAAAAAUUUGAAUAAUAUUGGGUUUCACACUGAAUUUGAUUUUUGAUUUUUGGAGGAAAAAGAAGAAAUGUGUAAAUCUCUAUUUUAAUAAAUUUUUUCGACGAUUAAGAUAAAAAAAAUUAGGGGUUAUUGAAGGAAAAAAACCAUUACAUGCAGUCACCAAGUUUUUCAAUCUGAUUAGAAUGAAAUCUUUACGGACUUCAACUUAUCACUGACAAAAAUAGAAUAACCUACAUCCACACAUACAUACCAGUUACAUUUACAGAUACAUGCAGUAAAAAAAGAAAUAGAACAAACAAGGCUUUUGGUUUAUGGCACAAAGAAAUAAUAGGCAUAUUAGAGGAGGCCAAAGGUAUUAGACACCAAAAAAUCAUUUUUAUUUUUAAUGGUUCAUUCUUUGCUGGAGAAUUUGAAACUAGGGUAUACUAUAUUAGAGACAUUAUGUGUUAGAUUUGACUUAGCUUCUGAGAAAAGGUGACUAAGUUGUCGCUCCAAGAUCAGUUGAAAGUUGAUUCAAGUAUAACUACUUAAUUUAUGACAGUAAAAAAAAUUGUUAGGAAUCAAUGAGACUUAGUAAUAAUAUAUGUCAUUUUUGGAGAAAAAGAAUAUUUUGGAGAAAAAGAAGCCGCUUUUGGAGAAGAAAAAUAUUUUUGCGAGAAAUUAGGAGUGAUUGACAUCCUUUAGUAACUGACAUCUAUUUUAAAGAGUAUAUUUUUUUAACAAAAAAAAGAAAACACAUUUUUGAAGAAUUUUAUUAUCUUAGAAAGUCCUAUUAAUUUUUUUUCUAAAAUUUAAAAGUUGUUAUUAGUUACAAUCUAAGAAGUAUUACUAUGACUUGCAAUAUACAAUCUAAGGAUGUAUAUUUAGACCUUUUCUCCUUUUAUUAUAGAAACACAUAUUGUAAGACCCUUAAAUUUUUAAUGAUUUUAUUUUUGACCCUUCCGCGUUUGUAAUGUUAAUUUUUGACUUGAUUUGCAUUUGGAGAUGUUAAAAGGGUAAUUGAAAAAGUUUCAAAAUUUUCGAAGGGGGUUCGGGGCUAUUUUAAAACUCCGAGAUAGUGUGCCUUCACGAUAUCACUGUGCUAGGGUGGUUAGCCUCUGCGAUAUCGGCCUGACACGGAGGAUACCUCCGUAAUAAGGUUGUGCCACGCUAAGGUAUAAAUUUCGUCCAGUUUUAUUUUUUUCCACUUGUAGUGAGGGAAAUUGGUCUUUUUACCCCUUUCACGACUUAUAAACAUAAAAGUGAUCCUUUUUAUUUAGUUUUAAAAGAUCAAACUAUAUUUUAUUAAUCUUUAACUCUCCAUCCAAACAAGCUCAUGGGUUUCAUAGAGAAUUCAUCAUUCGGGCUCCAAACUUCAAAUUGACUUUAAAAUCUUGUGUAUCUCAGACAUGUUUCUCUUUUCUAAACAUUAAUUUUACAUUUUGGCAUGAAUUAAAAGGAUUUUCAUGUGAUUUAAAUUGUGGAUUUUGAAAUUGAGUUGAGGCGUUAUUGUUGUUAUUGAUUGAAUUACCUGUCUCAUGUUUUGAAUUAAUUUUUCAUACUUUAAAUUAAUAUUUUUGGGAUUGAAUUGGUAUAUUAUUUAAAUGGUUGGAAUGAGGGAUACGAGUUUCCCCAAAUUAGAUGAAUUUUAACUUGAAAUUGCAUGAACCUCAACCUACUUUCUAAAUUUGAUUUUAUUAUGGAUAAUUACAUGAUUUAACUUGUUGUUGAACCCAAUGCAUUUCAUUAAUGGAUAAAUGGAUAUAAAAAUGGAUUUGGAUAGCCUUGGUGGCCAUGAUUUGGAUUUUGAUAAAACUUGAGAGUCCAAUUUGAUUGCAUGAAUUGAUUUGGCAUAUUUUAUUUAACUUGUAAGCAUAUUGGUAUGACGAUACCAAGUGUUAAAUGCCUGAAUGAGUGGCUCUCGGGUUAAUGGUUUGAAUUAUGUGCAAAUUAUUUUAAUUUGGGCUUAAGAUGGACUGUGUAGCUUGUCGUGAAAGUAGAGGUCCCGGAGGAAAUGAUACUAGAAAUUGUGUUUGCCGACAUGCGGGUCUAUAUGACCAUAUGCAUGGUUCACACACACACACACUAUAUAUAUAUUAGGAAUGGUUGAAGCCUCAGUGGCUUUGUCCCUUCCUCGAUUCAUAUGGCUACACGCACUAGGGCCCUUUCAGCAGGGGGAGAUGAACCCAUAUAGCCCAUGGGUGCCCUUAGGACAAAUAGAGCUAAACAAUCCAGGUUAAUGGUUUUAAAAAUCUCAUGUUCAUGACCUUUAUCCUAUUUCGGUAUCUUAUAUAUGUAUAUAUGAAAGUGUACAUGUAGUUUUGACUGAUUUUAGAUAUGGCAUUAUUUUAUCACCUUCCUUGAGUUACAUGCUAGUAUUUAUCCCACUGACUGUCUUAGGACACUACAUCAUUUCAUGAUGUAGGAUUUGAAGACACUUCUAUUGCUCUUGUGCAGUGUUAGGUGGCUUAGCAUGAUUAUUGAGCUGCUGUGAAAUGGUGAGCCUCUAUCCUUCGGAAGGCCUUAUCAUUUCAUUAUUAUUUCAUUAUUGACUCGGUACUUUUGGAUUUAUUUUUAUCAUAGUCGGGGGUAUUUCCCGACUUAGUUGCUAUUUUGGUCUUAGUGGUUAUUGUGGAUAAAUGUGAGUGGGUUUAUUAUUGGGCUCCUAGUUUCAUUUGAGUUAUCUAUUAUCUUCUAAUUACUAUCUUAAUUGGCUUUCACUUAUGGUUAUUGUUAUGCUCAUAAGGUUAGGCGAUGGGGGUGGCCUCUAAUCCACGGUGGGCUUGAGAUAUCCAUCACAGCUAGGCCUUGGCUUGGGUCAUGACAAGCUUGGUGUUAGAGUACGAUUUAGAGUCGUUGGGUGUCUAUAAAAUCAUGUCGAGUAGAGUCCUUUUUAUGACUGUGUAGCUCGCCAUACUUAUAAGGAGAAGGCUACGAGGCAUUUAGGAAUGUUUUUCUUUCUUGUGUUCUAUUUUGAGCUAUAAAGUCUAGUGUUAUGAAAUUUCUCUUACUCCUUUCUCGCUUUUCAGAUCAUGCCUCACAGAAGAUAUGAUGUUUGUAGAAACUCUGUUGGGAACUAUGUCCUACCUGAGGAUAAUGUGGAGGAGACUUGCCUUAUUUAUGGAGUUUAGACUCAGUUUAGAGUCCCUGCUCCUGAUUGUGCCACUCCACGUGGAGUUCUGCCUAUCCCCACUAGUCCUCGGGUUUCUCAUGCUGGGGACACUUAUGCUCAGUUAACUUAGGGAGACAUUUCUGGUUUGGAGUUUUAUUGGUCUAUUCAUUCGCUUACUCAGUUGGUGACAUAUCAGUCUCAUCAGUCAGAUUGUGUUGGUUCAGUUGUUCCAUCUGAGGUCACUCGGGUUGGCCAGUUUAUGUAGUUGAAUGCCCCAACCUUUACAGGCCUAAGGUUGAGGAGGAUCUGCAGGAGUUCAUUGAUGAGAUGGCGAAGAUUUUUAGGGUGAUGUAUGCUACUGAUGUAAGGGGUGUAGAGUUUCUUGCUUAUCAGUUAAAAGAUAUAUCUUAUUAGUGGUAUGGGAAGUGGAAAGAUAUGAGGGGUGAUAAUGCUGAGUAGGCAGUGUGGGAUAACUUUUCUAGUGCCUUUCUUGAUUAUUUCUUUCUUCAGGAGUUGAGGGAAGUUAAUGAUAAGGUGUUUGUUAACCUGAAGUAGGAUAAGAUGAGUGUGAUGGGGUAUGCAUUAAAAUUUCAGCAGUUGUCUCGUUAUGCUCCAAAGUUUAUGUCUAGUAUGAGAUCCAAGAUGAGGAAGUUUGCUUCUGGGUUAUCUCGUGACUUGGUAUUGAAGUGUAAGGCUAUAAUAUUGAAUAAUGAUAUAGACAUCUCUAGACUUGUGGUUUAUAUACAACAGGUUGAAGAUGAAAACAAAAAAUAGGCGGAGAUAGAGAGAGGCAAAACAAGAAGUUAGGUAUUCAAAGUAGGGCGAGGGUCAGCAAAAUAGUGCGAGAGAUGGUAGACAGUGGACCAAGAAGAAAAAUUGGGGAAAUUUGUAUUCAUCUGCUAGUGCUCCUUAUCCUAAGCCUUCGGGUGAUCAUUAUUUUCAGGCUAACAGCGGUUCUAAGGCAUAGGGUUCCCAGUCUCAGGCUAGUGGAGCUCGGUCAGCCCUACCUUAUUAUCCUUGUUAUUUUUGUGGGCAACUUUAUCAUGGUUAUUGUGAGACUGGGAGAAAUCAGUGUUAUAAUAUGGUCAGCCUGGGCACUUGCAGCGAGAUUGUCCAUCAACCAAGGUUGCCACUAGAGCUAAUAAAGUUUAGGUCACCUUAUAUUCUACCCCUUCCCAAAGGGCGCUAUUUCUGGUAUCGGCAUUAGCCGAAAUCGUCUUUAUGCACUUGGUACUCGCCAAGAAUUUGAGGCAUCUCCAGAUGUUGUUACUGGUAUAUUAUAACUCUUUUCCCGUGAUGUUUAUUAUUUUCUUGAUUCGGGUUCUACUCUAUCUUAUAUGACCUCUUAUGUGACUGUGCAUUUUGGUUUUGGUCUUGAAAGUAUUUUUGACCCCUUUUCUGUUUCUACUCCUAUGGAUGAUUCUAUAGUUUCUAAAAAAAUCUAUAGGGAUUGUGUGGUGUUUAUCUUUCAUAGGGAGACAUUGGUGGAUUUGAUAGAGUUGGAUAUGAUAGAUUUUGAUGUUAUCUUAGGGAUGGAUUGGCUUCACUCGUGCUAUGCUUUUCUGGAUGGUAGGACCCGAAAGGUUAGUUUCUAAUUCCAUAACAAACUGGUAAUUGAACGUGAGGGAAGUUUCUUAGUACCCAAAGAGAGAUUUAUUUCUUAUCUUAGAGCCCAAAAAUUAAUUUCUAAAGGGUGUCUAUAUCAUCUAGUUUGGGUUAAGGAUUCUAUCCUAAAACUCAUCCUUUGCAAAAUGUCCCUGUGGUUAAUGAAUUUCCUAAAGUCUUUCCCGAUGAUCUUUUUGGAAUUCCUCCCGAUAGGUAAAUAGAUUUUGGGAUUAAUCUUCUACCAAAUACUCAUCCUAUUUAUAUUCCUCCUUAUAUAAAAACCCCGACUCAAUUAAAAGAGCUAAAGGAGCAACUAAAAGAUCUUUUUUAUAAAGGUUCCUUCGUCCUAGUAUUUCUCCAUGGGGUGCUCUUGUGCUUUUAAUGCAAAAGAAAAGAUAGGUCCCUUUAGAUAUGCAUAGAUUAUCAUCAGUUGAAUAAGGUAACAAUAAAAAAUAAGUACCCUCUUCCUAGGAUUGAUGACCACUUUGAUCAUUUUCAGGAUGCUAGAUGUUUCUCUAAGAUUGAUCUUCAUUUGGGCUAUUAUCAGUUGAAAAAUAGGGAGGUUGACAUUCCCAAGACUGUUUUCCAAACCCGAUAUGGUCACUAUGAGUUUUUGGUAAUGUCAUUUGGAUUGACUAAUGCUUCGGCUACUUUAUGGAUCUUAUGAAUAAGGUUUUUAAGCAGUUUUAGACUUAUUUAUUAUAGUUUUUAUUGAUGACAUCUUGGUGUACUCUAAGAGUGAGGAGAAUCAUGUCAAUCACCUCCAAAUUAUGUUGCAGAAUCUUAAAAACCAGAAUUUAUAUGUUAAAUUUUCUAAGUAUGAGUCUUGGUUGAAUAUUGUGACUUUUCUUGGGAAUGUUGUUUCUAAUGAAGGGAUCAAGGUGGAUCCACAAAAAGUUGAGACAGUUACGAAAUAGCCUAGACCCACCACUCCAGUCGACAUUAGGACCUUCUUAGGUUUGACUGGGAAUUAUCGAAGGUUUGUAGAGAGUUUUGCUUCUAAUAUUGUUCUAUUAAUGAAGUUGACUCAGAAAAAUGUUAAGCUCUUAUGGUCCAAUACUUGUGAGGGUAGUUUUGAGAAGUUGAAGGUUAACUUUUGCGCCAGUUUUAACCUUGCCUGAGGGUACUAAUAGUUUUGUGGUGUUUUGUGAUGCGUUCCGCGUGGUACUAGGUUGUGUGUUGAAGCAACAUGGUAAGGUUGUAGCCUAUGCUUCUAGACAACUUAAGGUUCAUGAAAGAAAUUAUCUGACUCAUGAUUUAGAGUUGCUGGUUGUGGUCUUUACCUUAAAGAUUUGGUGCCAUUAUAUGUAUGGGGUGCAUAUGGAUAUCAAUUCAGAUUAUAAGAGCUUGCAGUAUGUGUUUACUUAGAAGGAAGUGAAUCUUAGGCAGAGACGGUGGCUCGAAUUGCUUAAAGAUUAUGACAUGAGCUUGCACUACCAUCCAGGUAAAGCUAAUAUUAUUGCUGAUGCUCUUAGUAGGUUUUUCAUGGGGAGCUUGUCUCAUAUUUAUAAGGA
rnacentral:lncRNA from 1 species